UUCUCUUGACUUUUCUUCUACAGCAAUGACAUCAUUGGUUUCUGUAGACUGUUCUGGAAUUGAAGAUGCGUUUGGUUGCUCCUCUUCCCUUCGUUCCGUUGAAUGUUGUUCUGGUUCUUUCUGAUUUUCCUCAACUUCAGUAACCACAGGUUCACCUUUUACUGUUUCUGUAGGCUCAACUUCAGUAGCCACAGGUUCUUCUUUUACCGUUUCUGUAGCUUGAACUUCAGUAGCCACAGGUUCUUCUUUUACCAUUUCUCUAGGAUCAACUUCAGUAACCACAGGUUUGACUUUUACUGAUUCUGUCAGAUCAACUUCAGUAACCAGGGGUUCUUUUACUGUUUUUGUAAUUUCAACUUCUGUAGCCACAGCUUCUUCUUUUACUGUCUCUGUAGGAUCAACUUCAGUAACUAUAGGUUCGUCUUUUACCGUUUCUGUUGCCUCGAAUUCAGUAGCUGCAGGUUCAUCUUUUACCAUUUCUGUAGGCUCAACUACAGUUGUCACAGGUUCUUCUUUUACGGUUUCUGUAGCUUCAACUUCAGUAGCCACAGAUUCUUCUUUUACUGUUUCUGUAGCUUCAACUUCAGUAGCCACUGGUUCUUCUUUUACUGUUUCUGUAGCUUCAACUUCAGUAGCCACUGGUUCUUCUUUUACUGUUUCUGUAGCUUCAACUUCAGUAGCUGCAGGUUCGUCUUUUACCGUUUCUGUAGCCUCAACUUCAGUUGCCACAGGUUCUUCUUUUACCGUUUCUGUAGGCUCAACUUCAGUAGCCACGGGUUCUUCUUUUACUGUUUCUGUAGCUUCAGCUUCAGUAGCUAGAGGUUCUUCUUUUACCGUUUCUGUAGGAUCAACUUCAGUAACCACAGGUUCGUCUUUUACGGUUUCUGUAACCUUAACUUCAGUAGCUGCAGGUUCUUCUUUUACUGUUUCCGUAGCCUCAACUUCAGUAGCCACAAGUUCUUCUUUUAGUGUUUCUGUAGCCUCAACUUCAGUAACCACGGGUUCUUCUUUUACUAUCUCUGCAGUCGCAACUUCGGUAACCAUGGGUUCUUCUUUCACUGUUUCUGUAGGCUCCACUUCGAUGAUUUUGGUCUCUUCCGAUAUCGCUGCUGCUGUCUUCUCCUCAUUGGCCUCGACUGUAGAUUCAACAAUUGCAAUUGCUUUUGGUUGCUCUGCCUCUUCUGAUUUUUCUUGUGAUUCUUUUUCCGGUUCUUUUGUUACUUUCGGCUCUUCUGUGGCCAGAGGCUCAAGCUCGGGCUUUUCUUCCUUUUCGGCACUUGUUUCUGAAAUUUCAGCUUGUUUCACCUUCUCUUCAAAUUGAUUAGUCUCAGUCGCAUCACUUGAUUUUUCAGUGGUUUCAGCUUCUGGAAUAUCUUCUAUCUUGGGUUGAUUCUCUUCAUUGGUUUCUACAAGUUCCUUUUCUAUCUGCUGUGAUGUUUCCUUCGCAUCAGAUUCAGUGGAUGGUGUCUCAUCAUGAUGGCUUAUCGCUGUAUCAUUUACUGGUUCUGUGACACUGAUAGUUUCUGAUUCAGUUAUCAGAUCUUUCUCCUCUUUCGGAUUAUCUGAAACAGUUUCUAUUGGUACAGAAUCAUCAGUUUUUUCUGCAGCAACAGCAGGCUCAGCCUUCACUUCAUCUUCUUUUUCUACACCUGGAUUUUGUGCAUCAUCAAUUAUGUCAGGUUUCAGACUAUCUUCAGCAGAAACAUUCAAUGCUGAAGAAUCAUCAGACUUUUCAAUCUCUGCUGCUGCAAGCUCAGCCUUAAUCUCAUCACCUUCUGUCGUGGAUGAAGGAGUAGCCUGACCUUGUGCAUCGUCAGGCUUGCCAUCAUGUUUGUCUCCAUCUUCAUUGGCUAGGGAAUUGAUCUUUUCUGCAAUAGCUUCGUCCUUUUCCGGGUUCACAAUAUCUUCAACAAAAUCCUUCAAUGCGGAAGAAUCGUCAGACCUUUCGAUCUCUCCUGCUGCAAGCUCAGUCUUCACUUCAUCUCCUUCUGUAUUCGACGAAGGAGUGGCUUGACUUUGUGUAUUGUCCGGCUUGUCGUCGUGUUUGUCUCCUUCUUCAUUGGCUAGGGAAUUCAUCUUUUCCGCAAUAGCUUCGUCCUUUUCCAGCUUCACAAUAUCUUCAACUGAAACCUUCAAUGCUGAAGAAUCAUCAGACUUUUCAAUCUCUUCUGCUGCAAGCUCAGCCUUCACCUCAUCUUCUAUCUUCGAUGAAGGAGUGGCUUGACCUUGUGCAUUGUCUGGCUUGUCAUUAUGUUUGUCUCCGUCUUCAUUGGCUAGAGAAUUCAUCUUUUCCGCAAUAGCUUCGUCCUUUUCCUGCUUCACAAAUUGCUGUAUAAUAAAAGAUAUAAAAACAUUAAUAGUUAAAUCGGUAGUGCUUACUGAAGAGACGUAUAUGUAUCAACAAAAAUGGACGUUUUGAAAAGAAAGAAAACAAACUAGCGAACAUUUUAUGAAACAUGGUAAUUUGAAACCAGUAGUGAAAGUAAGGAGCUCAUGGCCAAACUAAGGAUGUGUUAGGAUUGACUUAUUUCAGUGUAUUUUCUUGCAUAAGCAAGCACUUGUAACGCUGUUUGAGAGAGCUUAUAGAAACAAUUUAUGACAUGUCCAUAAGUUGUUCUCGGCUUAUUUUCUUAAGCUCCCAAUGAUAGCUUAUAUCGAAAUAGUUCUAUUUUAUCUUCCGUUAUAGAAAUAACUUAUACAAGAGCAUUUAUAUCAUAACAGCUUAUGUAACAAAAACAUAAUUAAGUUGUUUAUCCAAACAGGUCCUAAAGCAGUGAUAUGAAGGAUUCUUUUCACAUAAAUAGAUUUGAAACAUUCUCACAUAACAAGAAAACACAGAUGGAGGAAUCACUGGAAAGUUUAUACUUGCAAAAAGCACUGUAGUUCCAAUAUAGAAGAAAACAUUCGGUGAAUCUUUGUCAUAUCUUUGAUCUACUGCCAUAUUGUUCUUUAGCUUAUUCAUAAAUUUGUAAGUUUGCAGAAAAUAGUUUGCGUAAAUAACAAGAUUCUUAAAAUAUUAUAGUAUUAUUACAUUUUGCAUGAUUCUAACUUGUCUAAGACUCUUGUUCAAAAGAACCCUGUAAGAGGGAAGGAAUCAUUGAACUUUGAUAAAAGUUGAACACUUUUUCUUUCUUGCUUUUCCAUCGUGUCAUAGGACCUAAUCCAUGUGGACCAUAUCCAUAGGACUACAAGUUUAUCUACCAUAAAUUAUUUUCUGAAUUCCAAUUUUUAUAUGCUUUGUGUUUGAUAUUCUUAAAUUUCUAGCUAUUCUCUUUUCAUUUUUUACAUGAUCAAAGAUUAUGUUAGAUUCACAAUUUCUUGAUGUACAAAAGAAUAUAUGGAUUCACUUCUGGAAUACCAUAAUAUACUAUUCAAAUUUAUUUUUGCAUGGUAAAGUUUUAAUCUAUGAUUUUAUACACACUACUCAAAUCUCUCAGUACUUGCUCAAUUUUAGUGACUUCCAUAACUUUUAAAGUACAAACUAGUUUUUAGUCCGAUUUGUCUCUUUAUGUUAUAUGAAUCAACAAAUCUUUAAGAUCUUAAGAUUAACUUAAUUAUUAUAUGUCACCAAUACAAAUACAGAUAUACAAUAUUUUAUAAAGUAAAACAAAAUCUACUAGUUAACUUUGUUUAUAAUUAUCCACUUAGUAAAGACAUGUAAGCUUAAUUCCACAGAAAGAAACAUAAAAACAUGUAGCCAUGAUCAAAAUAACUUGUGCAUAAAACAAGAUACAAUAGAAACAAGUUGAAGAUCAUAAAAACUUUGAAUAGGAACAAACCUCAUGAGUAGUAGAAGCAUGAUCAGAUGCAAGCUCAACAGUUUCAGUAGCCAUGAUGAGAAAUCGAAGCUAGGAAGAAAGAAGAAAAAGUGUACUACUAAGUGAAGUUGUUGAGAACUUAAGGUGUAGAGAUUAACAAAUAAAGAAAGUUUCAAGUGAAGGGAAUAAUAUGGUUGGCAACAACUCUAGGAAAAAAGAAGGAAAGAAUUACAACUUGUUUUUGCAAUAAAAGAAGGACAGACUGUAUAUCACAUGAGCUGGUGGUAUACUAUUGUGGACUCAAUGAUUUAGGAAGAUGAUUAUUAGGAUUAAUGUGCUACUAAAGUUUUCACAUUAAAAUACAAAAAAGUAUAUGAAAUAGAAAAGUUGAUGAUAUAGCUGGAUUGAGCUGUAGCAAAGUGACUAGCUUUAUUUGAGUGAUUAAUGGGGACCAGAUCAGUGUCAAGAAAUUUUUGCAUGCAUUUAAACGGUUGAAAAUUAAAAAAUAUUUUGGGCCCUUCUGUCAAACUAGAUAUAGAUAUAUAUCAUAUGAUAUCUCCUUGUUGUGGACUGUGGUUUUGUUAAGAUUCCUCUUAAGCAAAUUUUAUUUUAAUUAAAUGUCUUUUUCAGAUUAUGGAAAUGAUUAAUAAAUAUUGUACUAUUUUUAGAAUUAAAAAAUUUAAUUAGGGAAGAUGCGCCUCCUUGCAAGAUCGGAUAAUUACCAACUCAGCAAUAAUUUAUGAUAAAAUGAAAUUUAUGUACAGCAUAAUAUAAUAAAUAAAUAAAUACCGACCAAUGUUAUAUAAAACAACUAACCAUAAUAAAACUCCCUCAAAAAAACUAGCAAUAAUAAUAAUAAUAAUAAUCUUAAGACAACUUGUUUCUUUUAAUUAAACAGCCAUCAUUUUUUUUUUUUGAGAGAAUUAAACAGCCAUCGUUGUCUGUUUUAUUUUGAUUCUAUGGACUAGUUUUUUUUGUAGUCAGGGUUUGAACCCUGGAUCUUACAUAUAUUAUGCAUUAUCCUUACCAAUUGAGAUAAGCUCACGAGGACGUGAUUUUUUUUAAAUCAAUAUACAUUAUGGUUGCUGCUACUUGCUAACAUAAGUCAAAAAAAUUAUCAUAAUUAAGGUGUGACGGCAUUAUUUUAUUUUAUUUUAUUUUCAAGAUUUUUUUUUGUCAUAGUGAAGGCUUGAGGACAUUUUUUUACGGAGACAUUAAUUUUUUUUUAAGGGAACAUUAUUUCUUAUUUACAUCAACUUUCUGCAGCAAAUAGGGUUUGUAAUGGUCUUUUUACACCAGGGCAUAAAGAAUCUGGUAUAGUAGCACUUUAUUUACAUCAAUAAGAUUCAUUUUAUAUAUAUAAAAAAAUAUUAUUAUUGCAAAAACUUCACAUUGCUUUCCUUUUAUUUUCUCUUUUCAAAAUUUUGUACAAGAAUAAAUGAGAAAACAACUACUCCCUUUGUGUUUUUGUCCAAAAGAAAACAUACUUCCUUUGUAUCUUUUCUACUACCCAGUGUUUAUUAUUUACAUUUCACUUCUUGUUCUCUUUUCAAUAAAUACUUAUGAAUAUUAUUGACACAAUAAUGAUUAAUGUUGUAUUGAAUUUUGAAAACUAUAAAAAAUUUAAAACGAAAGGAUUAAAGCAAAAAAGUAGUAGUAAUGGUUAUUUUACGAUCGUCCCCAAGUGAUCCGAUCUCUGUACCUUAAUGUUAUAAGAUUAAGUUCGCAUCACUAAGCUAAUACCUCAAGUGUAAAAACGACAAAUAAAUAUAUAUUUUCUAUUCUACAAAAAUUCAUAAAUUCAUUUCAAAAUGUCAAAAAAAAAUAUAAUGACGUAAAAUUUUACCAAUUUUAAAAGGUCAGGUCUGUUCCACGAUUGAGCAGUCGAAUUUGCUUUGAUUUUCAAACAUAGAUUAAGACAUACCACUUCUAUGAAAAUGAUGUUGCCUCAUGUCACUUUAGAGAACACUGUUUCGGUUUGCUUGGUGGGUCAUUGAGUGGCUGCUCCCCCUUCUCUAAUUUGUUAUAAGAUCAAAUAAACUUUUGUGAACAUUAUUGUACAUAUACGUGAUAUUAUGUUGCUUUCCAAUAGGAUUAUUUACUGUGCAUGUUUUGUUAUAUUCAAUAAAUCCAGAUUGCUAACAUCACAGAAAUAUUUAGAAUUAUAAGAAGAAACCAACAAAAACACAAGAGGGCUGUGUUUAUAUAUGCUUUGGAUAAUGUAUUAUAGUGUUUGUUUUGGAUUCUUUUUGUAAAAGUUAUUUUAAUCACUUUCAAAAUAGUUUUUUUUUUUUUGCAAAUAAGGAUUUUUCCUUCUGAGAAAAGAAACGUGAUCUGAAAAAUUAAAAUACUAUAUUUUUAAACUAAUUUGCUUUGCUAAUUCUUCUAAACAAUUUGACAUUGAUGAAGCUCAUUCACCGUUAGUCCUCAAUUAUUUCUUUAUAUUUUAAACUAAUUUGAGAAGCUUGAAUAAAUUAUUAAAAAAAGCUAACGAACAAUCAUACUUACCAAUUAAUGUUCAUCUUGUUAUAUUCAUGAAUGGAAGUUAUUUCCUGACCUAUAAACAGAGUAACUAACUCAUGAAGAGUUGAAAAGUAUAUCUCCAACCUUGUAUAAUCAUAUGAGAAGUUGAGACACAUCCAAUCAUUUUAUGAUAUCAUAUUACGAUGUAUCUUGUUGUUUGUUGAUAAUAGAGUACAAGCAGGUGUAGUGUCACCAUUGAACAAUAGUCAUCGACAAAUGUAUGUUUGAUGAUUCAAAGUGAGUUUGCAAGGUAUACACAGAGGCAUAUGAUAUCGUAUGGAUCAUAAACGGAGGAUAAGGCUAACUUUUUCCACUUAGGAUCUAAUUGUCAAGAUUUCUUAUGGAUAAUUUUGCGAGAUUGUGUUGUGUUAAUUAUGCAUUUUUAGGGGACUACCCUGUUGGUCAUUUAGAUUGCUUAGUAACAUAUCAGAUUCAAGUUCUAAGACAAUUCAUGUUACAUCCCAAUCUAAGAUCAUGUUUUAUAAUUAGUUUUUUUUUAUUUGUUUAUAGUUAUACUUGAACCUCUCAUUGAUUCGAAACAAAAUAUUGUCGAAGUUUCCGUUGAUUCUAAAGGCAAUUUUGAAUGAACUGCUUCGCGCAUGUAACAAAGCCUGAGAUUUUGAAAAAUAAAUAAAUAAAUAAUAGGAAGAACAAAAUUGGAAUCAACAAUCUGCUUUUGGAUAACAUUCAAAAACAAGAGAAAAGACUUUUUCUCUUAAGAUUCAUUGUGGGUUGAGUUACUUAAAAUCAAUGUAGAUCAUACACUUUAAAAAUAGAUCUUAUAUAAAGUGGUAUGACUUGGGUGAAUUUCAUCCCAUAAAUAAAAGUGUUAAAAGGAAUGUUAAAAAAGAUAGUGUUUCUAGCAUUCGUGUAUAUCUAAGAUAUGGUGAACUAUAAAAUUUUAAUAACUAUAAAUUGGUUGGUAAGAUUUUGUAGCUGAUAUUUUUUAUAAACAAGACACUCAUGAUCAAAUUACAAUUGUCUCCUGAGUCCAAAAUAAUAAUAAUAUGAUUGUCUUAUUGAAUUUAAAUUUGACUAUUAUGAUUACAAAGUCAAACUAUUACUAUUGAGUUGACACAUUGUAGAGACAUAUAUAUGUAUUUAAAAACUAAUUCACCAAUAUAAUAUGGAUUAGUAUCCUCUCAUGUUACAAAAAAUUCUUAAAGAAAUAAUGUACAAGAUCUAAACCCUUAAUUUAUAAAACGAGAGGAUUUUGAAAUUUGAAAGAAAAAAAAUGAAGAAGACUUUUUUUAAGGGAAAUAAUGAAGAAAAAUUUAUUAAAGGUUGAGAUUAGGGCUUGAUAAAACAUGAGAGGAAAAUAAAUUGAGAGGCUCCUUAUCUAUAUAAUAUGAAGUGAUGGGUCGUUCUUUUAAAAUUGGAGGUUCUUGUAAAAUUGGAGGCUCGACUCUCAUAAUAAAGAUAUGUCUCUAAUAAAAAAAGGGAAUGAUAUUUGAACAACUAUUUUGUUACAACUUUUGGGACAACCUUGUUGUUCUCUCUUCUCAUUGGUCAAAAACAAUGGAGAGAGAAAAAGGAAGAGAGAGAAUAAGAAGAUAAUGUGAGUAUGAUAGAGAAAAUUGUACAAAUAUCAUUUUAUUUUAAAAAUGUGAUUUUUUAAAAUAAUAAUUGCAUUGUAUUUUUAUUUGUAAAUAUGUAUUCAAAUGGGGUGAAGAGUUUGACUGAAUUGGAUGAAGAAAAAAGGGUAUUUAAGACAUAUAGAUCUCAAAUCAAGAAAAGAGGAUCAAAAGAACACCACCAUCAAGAUUCUACCACUAUGCCGAGUGUUCAAACUUUGAAAUUUUACAACGCAAUUAGUAUAUAUAUUCAUAUUUUACAGGCGUUAAUUACAAAAAAAAAAAAAAAAAAAUUGGGCCCCAAAAUUUUGGAACCCCAGCUCCAUAGAGUGGAGCUAUUUGCACCUUCCCAAGAACAGCCCCGAGUGAUGAUGCAUGGGAUUCCAUAAAUUAGGCACGGUCCUACCUUUUUAUUACAUUGUUUGAUAUUUUUAAUGUAUAUAAUUCAUUUUGAAGGAAAAAUAAACCAUACAUUAAUUUAUUGUUUAUUUAUGAAUUAAAUUUACUUAAAUUUGAUCACAAAUUAUUUUUCUUUUUUUUUGCCCGGCUCAAAUAAAAUUUACUUAGAAUAAAAAAAAAACAUGUUGAAAAACUAAAUUAUUAGCAUCCCUUUUAAGCUGAUAUAUGAAAAUACGAAUGAAUUCCCUUCAAAAAAAAAAGAAAAUACGAAUGAAGUACAAUACUCAACAUGCUUUAUUGUCGUGAAGGAUACUGUUUUUCCUUUGUCCAAAUAAAGAAUCGUGGACACAUCACACAUGCAUUCAUUAAAUGCUAAAACUUGAAUAUUUCCACAAGAAAAACGAGUCUACAGAGAAAAGGAACAAAUUACUGGUUUAAAGUAGACAAGUUUGGUAUUUGACUCCUUUGACUCUAUGAUCUUACUCUUUGCUGUUAUUGCAUAUCAUGGAGAAAGCCAACCAAUCACAUGUCUGCAUCUGUUUUAUUUGAUUAAGCAUUUUUUUUUUUUAAAUUGGGUGGGAUAUUUUUUUCAAUAAUAAUAUUUUGAAUGAUUUUAAUCAUUAAUUUAUUUUGAAAACUAAAGUUAAAAUGGUUAUAUUCUUAAAUAAAUAUUUGUUUGUUUCACGGCUCGAGGCAUUAUGGGGUGGAUAUCUGUCGCCAUAUUGCAUCAUGUUACGAUAGUUUUUGGAAACAUUGAUUCAAUUCACAUCCAAGAUUUCAUCAGGAGUGUGUCUUGACAGAUCCCGCCUCCUAGAUUGGUUUCUCUUAAUAUAAGUUUAGGAGUGUUAUUUAAAUUUCACAUGUCUUGAAAUAAAAUAAACAAAUGAAUAUACGUCCUAAAAAUGUACAAUGUAUCCCUAUGGUACCAUUAUUCUCAUCAUUUCAACCCACAUAAGAAGAAUUCAGAGUUUGAUCCUCUCAUGCAUGCGUCUCCAUCCAAUAAAUAAAAAAGAGUGAAUGGAUGAUAGAAAAUAUGCAGAUGACUGGAAGAAGGAAAAUGGCAAGAGAGAUAGAUAUAAAUGAUAUAGGGAUGUGCAUGAUAACCAGUUCGAGGCCUAAACCCAUAAGUGCAUGAUAACCGUAUCGAAUUCAGAUAUGCUCCAUUUAAGUUAAGCUUCAUUUACUCAAUUUAAGGUUUGGAUGUAAGACAUGUUGCAAAAAAAUAUCUAACGGUUGAGAUUUUAAAUUAAAAAACAAAUAUUUGUUUAAUAAAAAUACAUAAUAAUAACAAACAAAUCAUGUUCCUUUCUUCUCUCAUAUCGCAACAACCUUUUAUUUAUUUUUAAUUUAAAAUCUUAACCAUUAGAUAUUUGUUUGCCACAUGUCUUACAUCCAAGCCCUAAAUGGAGCUUAGCUUAAAUGGAGCAUACCUGAACUCAAUCAUAUCUAUAUAAACCCAUAACAAUAUAAACCGGAGGCGUGUAGAGAAAUUGUGUUAACCCGCUGAUUUCAAAUUUGGAUGCAUUUAUAUGAAAACAUUUAUAACUCUGGUUUUAAAUGAGAAGAGUCUUUGGUAAUUUGGAGUUUAGCAUUGAUAGAAGUAUUGUCUGAUUAAUAAUUGUUCCACCAAAUUCCACCAAAAAUAGAAUUCGGGUUUCCGAACUUCUUUCAUUAUUAUUCUAAAUUUCUAAUUAUUCUAAUUUGUUGAACACUUCAUUAUUGAUCCAAAAUCCAUCAUUGACCGAAUCAAACCAAAUUUGCUCAAAACAAGUCCAAAAUUUUGUGUUUUUUCAUUGGCCAUUACUUUUCCCAUUAUAUGAGGUUCUCGCGCGCCUACUGUAUUCUAAAAUCCGAAGUAUUUGUGUUUUUUAAGGUUUUAUGGGUUUUUUUUAACUUUUUAUGUAGUUUGGAUUCUAAAAUCCGAACUAUAUAAGGCGUGUGAAAAACUCAUAUGGUGGGAAAAGAAACAAUCUUUUUCAUUUGCAUUCCUUGUGUUUUUGGUUGUAUGGGCUUUAGAUUUGGGUCGUUAUUUUAUUUGGUCUGCUUGGCAAAUUAGGAAGUUUCUUUAAGUUUCUUUUUACGCCCCCGUGAUUUUUAGAAAAUGCUUUUGUCUUUGCUUACUUAUUAAAUGGAAAUAACAUUCUUUUCUCCAGAUUUACCAUUGGACACGAGAAAACAACAACAUUUCUUUUAAGUCUGGUUUGAUAAAUUUGGAUAAGUGUGAAUUUUAAGAAAAACGAUGGUAAAACUAUUUUUAAAUUAUAGUUAAUGAGUCAAGGUGUUCGUGGCCAUAAUUAUUUUUGAACUACAAAUUUGGGACUAAAUUGUUUUAUAUAGACUAAAACUUGAAAUUUAAAAAUAUUAUAGGAACCAAAAACAUAUUUAAUCCUUUUUUAGCACCCUUCCUAUCCUUUCUUGACGAGUCUACAUAUGUUCGUUUUUUUUAAUGGAACAUGAACAUCUUAUGAUAUGUUCCCGGUGAUUUACCUUUUCCAUUUUUAUAUAUAAAUCAUUUUUGCUUUAAUUAUUUGGAAACAAAAAUCAUUUCUUAUAUUCCCUAAAAAAAAUCAUUUCUUAUGUAUAGAAUAAUCUCGUCUUUGAUUAGAUCUGGUAAUCUGGAAAUGAUUGUGUAAGAAAUGAGAGAUCCAAGCUCCUUGUUGGCAUUGAAAACAUAUUAGAUAAUUCAACAAGACAUGAAACGAAAAAUGAUCCUUCCGAUUCGUAGUGACACUGCCACUGUGCAAAAACAACAACAACGGUCAUAAACAUUUUACAUUUAUAGAUAUGCAAAAGAACCUCAACAACCUCAACUUAAUUUUACAACUUUUUCAUUUUUUAGCUUCAAUCUUUUUUUUAUAAUAAGGCUUGAUCCUUUAAUUAUGAAGAUAGAGGAAAUAUGUGUCGAAGAUUUUCUGCAUAAUUUUAUUUUUUGAUGAAUUUCUACAUAGGUGAGAGUAAAAGGUUGUAGAAGGUUUGACCAAAAAAAUAAAAAAAAGUUGUAGAAGGUCAUUUGCAUAGGUCUACCGGUGGAUCCUUAUUUUUUGGAUCCAUAUCAGGGCUCCCCUUUUACAAGCAUGAGGAUGAGGACAAGUUGAGUUGAGUGGCUCACGAUGUUCUACUGUUUCUUCUUCUCGACAUCCAAAACCGUAAAUGACAAUUGUGUGGGUCUUUGUUGAGGGUUUAUGGUGGUGGAUGACGUUGUCAUUUUUGCACCACUUUUCUUCGGCCUUUUUAACACUACAGUUUUAUUUUUGAGUAUGUUUUCUAUUUCUUCAAGUAGAUCAAAUUGAAACCCCGAAUCCCCUUUCCAUGUCAUAGUUGUCAAGAUCCGAGGAGUUGUUGGCGGCGAGGAUUAAGAAUGAGUUGCAUAGAAAUAUUGUAGAAAUACUAACAUUCGAAUCUAAAGAAUUGUGCAUUCAAUAUUUCUACUAUAUUAAUACACUUAGAAAAUACUAACAUGUUUCGUGUUAAAGAAUUUAAUAUAGUAGAAAUAUCAUCUUAACAAUUGCGCAUUCAAUUUCUUAAAUGUUAAAAAUUUAUUACUUAUGAUAUAAAUUUUGUUACUUUUGUUGUGCUUUUAAAAAACAAUUUAAAAAAAAAAAAAAAGUUAAUCAUGAUCCUUAAUCACGCGACAACGAUGAGUCUCCAAUGCGACCCAAUCUUAAAGCAAGUACUGUGAACAAAAAAGAUAAUGAAAUUAUUCGGACAGCAAAACAGGCAUGUUAAGGGACAGAAAAAUAAUGGAUUGGCCUAGACUAGUUUUUUUUUAACAAAACAUCUGAAAUGAAAUUGAUUGAGAAGACAUAACUCCUUAUUAGAAUCUCAAUUAGUUCAUGAAUAAGUCUACCAAAAUUCACAAUCAAGUAAUGAUGUAAAAUUUAUCAACAAAGUUGACUACAGAGCAAAAUUGCAAAAGUGAAAAUGUAAUUAUUCAACGAUGGGGUACAAGGGAACAUUUCAACUAGACAAUGGUUUUCAUAAGUACUACUAAUUGAUUGAUGGGGUUAACACUUUUUUGUGGUGGGCUUGGGCUUAUGAAUAUUAAUUACUCCCUCCGUCCCUAAUUAUAUGACCCUUUUGCUAAAAUUACGGGAAUUAAGAAAGUGGAUAUUUGUAUUAAAGUUGUUUGUAAUCACUGUUGUUUUUACAAUAUUAUCCUUAAGAAAGAGAGUUAGUUUAUGUUUUCCAUAUGCUAUUUAUUUCUGAUUGAAGAAAAAUAUGUAUAAUAAAUAGGGGCAUGUAUGUAAAGAAAUAAUUAAUGUAGUUGAAAAUAACAAAGGGGUCUUAUAAAAAGGGACAAAAAAAAUUCUCAAAAGGGUCUUAUAAUUAGGGACGGAGGGAGUAUUAAAAAUUCUUAGACUAUUACUUUUCCACCCUGCUGCCUUCUCGUGCACCCUGCAAAAUUUACUAAAAUACAUUGGUUCGGAUUACAUAAUCCGAAUCAGAUUGUUAGUGAUUUCCGAAAACAGAAAUCUGGACCAGAUAUUAUGUAAUUUUCUGUGUCUUUCUUUGAUGUCAAGGGUCUCUGUUGACCGUUAUAUGAACCCCACACAAGCUGCAAUGCAUUGCAAUUGCAGGGUUCUUAUGAACGGUCAACAAUGACCAUGACAACAUCAACACCCCUAAAAAACUAAAAACCAUUUGAAGAAAAUAUAAGAAAAGAGGUGAAGUGAAGAAUGAAGGUAUUUGUUGAAGAUGGAAGCCUUUUUAUAGCCUAAAACAAGUCCUAGGUCAUUAAUACAGUCAAUGAAAACGUGUUAGUGGUUGUAACGGUCCAAACCCACAUUAAUGACUCUGAAUCUUUCCGGAUUUUACAUUCCGGAAUGUCCUUAGCCCUAUAGGAAGUGUCAACUUUUCCCUCGUUCACCACCAUUAUCGCAUUAAUCCGGAAAAUAUAUUCCGGAAAACAGAUGUGCUUUCCGGAUUAUAUAUUUUGGAAUGCAUCAGUCAUGGUCGGUGGUCUGCACCACACGUUUUUGUUGGUGGCAAGUAAAAAAAGUGGUAAAACGCGUUUUUUGACUGCAUUUAUGGCCUCCCAACCGUUUUUGACCCACCCCUCCCUAUAAAUGGCCUUUCAUAGAUAAGGGUCUCGUUGAAAACUUUCAGGGUUUGUAUGAACAAUCAAUGAGGAUGGAACCGCGCUGCAACGAAACGCGGUUCAUCUAAGGGUCGUGUGGGUCAGUGUGGUUCUUAGCUUGCCCUGUCUGGGCGUAAGUUUGACCACCCCCCAUCUCCCUCAGGGGCAUUGUUUUCUUCUUCCCGCCUUCCUCUUCCCUCCUCCUCCGGUUUUCCUACAAUAGGCAAACUACUAGUAUGUCCCAUCACAUACCAGUGGUUAGGCUCUUAGGAGAUUAGAAUUAGGCUCAUAUUGUUCAUAUAUUAAUAAAAUAAGUUGUUUUUAUGUUUUUGUUUUUUUACUUCUGUUUUUUAUUUUAUUUGCAUUUUAUUUUACGAAUUUUGAAGAUUAAAAUUGCAAAACUUCUGGUAAAACAUUAUUCCGGAUUUUCAAAUCCGGAAACAUCUGCAAAAUUCUAACAAAACAAUCCGAAAAACGAAAUCCGAACCAGAGGUAAAAUUGGAAAAGAAUAGGGCGCGCGAGGAAAGACAUUGGGUGGGAAAAGUAAUAGUCAAAUUCUUAUAAUUUUAACUUGCUAUUCAAGUUAAUUUUGUGUUUAUUGGGUCUUUUUCCUCUCUCAAUUUAUUACACAUAACAAAGUAACUAAUUGAAUAGUUAGUUAAUAAUAAUGACUAUCAUGAGGGACUAAUCUUCUAGUAAUUAACGUAAUUAUGUCAUGAAUGAGACUCUGCUCAGCUGUUUAUGUCAUCAUCGCUAAUUGCUUGACAAGACCAAAUAUUAAUUAAGAUGUUUAUAGAGACAAAAUUAAUUAAGAUGUUGUUAACAAAAACUUAUGAAAUAUGCAUGUGCCUGUGUCUACAACAAGCUUUAAUGGGCCAAUUUAUCAGGAUAACACAAGUCUUCUCAGAUUUGAAAUUUUUGUGACCCAUAUAUAUAGUAUCCAACAGAAUGAAUGUGGAAGCUGGUUUGCCACAAUUUCUUCCCCGUCAUUUUUGUACUACUUGAAUUGAAUAUAACUCAUACAUACUCUCCUCAAACUCACAUGAACUUCCAAGAAUAUAACUCAUAUAUUUGUUGUGGGUGCCAUUUAGAAUGGACCUUUACAUGUAUUGGUCCAUGAUGGACAAAUUUAUGAAAACCAUUUGAUUAAGUACACUUUAUGAUCUUAUCAUGUACUCUCUACCAUAUAAUAUUUCCUUUCUUUUGCUCCCUCUCAUCUCUUUAGUUUUACUCCCUCUCACUUGUCACCUCUGUCUUUAUUCCCUCUCUUCUCUUUUCAGCGAUAAUUGAUCUUCUUCAACCCCAUAAGUCAUGGCUAUGGAAGCAAGUGAUUUUGUUUUACUAUAUGUUCUUGAGAUAAAUGAUGAUUCAACUACACUCACUAGCUAAACCUAUGGUGACUUGCUAAGAUGUUUAAUUUAAUUUAAUUUAAUGUGUGAAUAAAUUUAAUUUCUAAAUUUUCCACGUCUUGUUUCAAUUUCACUGAUUCUUUUCUUAUCAACACAAGAUAAAAAGAGAAAAACAAAAGCAUGGAGAGUAGUGCUUAAAAACACAUAAGGAGAAAUAUCCAACACCAGGAAAAAAAAAACACUUAUGACGCUCAUCGUUCCUUAAAAAAAAACAUUAUGUAAAUAAAAUAAAAAAUCCACCCAUCAAGAAACCAAAAAAAAAGAACGUUUGAUUUUUUUUUUUUGAGAUAAUGAUGAAUUUUUAUUUUAAUUAAUAAAUAGAUGAAUAAAAUUGGGAGGGAUAGUGUGUAGAAGGUGCAUAGCACUAUUGUGAUGAUUAGAUUAAUCAAAAGGUAAAUAAUAUUGGUUCAGUAUGGACAAUUUUUUCUACGAGUCCAUUUUAUACGCAACCUUUGUUGUGUUCUAUUUUGCAUAUAAAUGGUUGAAAUCCCAAAUUUAUUCAAAAGAUUGCUAUUGAAUCAAUGGUCUCCUAUGCUUGCUAUGUUGAAAAUAUAUUGAUAAUAAGAAAUACUUAAAUAACAUUGUUAUGGUCAUUCUUUACAAUCGGUCAAAAAAAAUACUGUCAGUAAUUUUUUAACCUAAUGCAUCUCAAUUUUCAUUAGAAAUCUUGUACAGAUAUGACGGUACAUCUAUGAAUAGGUGAGAGCUAACAAAAAAUAUGAUUCCCUUUGCUAAAGCGUGAGCUACCCUUCCAGCUAAAUCCGACAUAAGAGUUUUAAAAGAUAGAUUAAAACAACUGUUUACAAACAUUCAUAAUAUCGCUAAUUUCGGUGAUGUUAAAAUAGUCGACAACCUUUUCAAAACCAAGAACGAAAUCCUUAUGAUAAAAAUGAAGAUAUGUCGAUAAAAUACUAUUAAGCUUUGUUUGCGAGUUGGAGGGGAAGAGAGGGGAGGGGUUUGAAGAAAAAAAACAAUGAGCAAGUGAAAGAAAUAUAGGACAACGGGAGGGGAGGGUUUUGGAGUGUUAAUUUUUCUUCAUAAUACAAAAUUCUCCUUAUUUGAAAGAAAUAAAACAUUGUAUUCGAGGAAGAAGGUUUUGGGAAAUUUUGGAGGAUUUAUAUGAAUUCUUUAAAUUUAAUCGAUGUUGAUAUAAUAUUUUUAAAAUUAAAAAUAUAGUAAUCAUAAGCAUUAACUUAUCAUUAUCUAAAAAACGACUCUUUCAAAAAAAUGUGGAAGGUUUUGUUUAUUUUCCACCCUCCAAAGUCUUCCCCUCCCCUCCUCUCUCCUCCAAACUCCCAAACAAAGUCUUGCUAUUAUCAAGCUGCAACUAUUAUUUCUACUGCAUCAUGUAGCUUAUUUUAAUCAAACAGGUACAAAUUUUUUACUAUUGGAACUACCUAAAGUUAUGUCAUGAAAUAAUGAGAUAUAACGAUUGCUCUUUCUUGUCAAUUAGUUGUACGUUGUAGAAUUAGAUUAUGAAAAGAUGGUUUUAAGGAUAAUGCAGAAGCAUCUUCAUUUUUCAAGGGCAUGUGGAUUAUGUCUCCCUCUCGUUCAAUGCUCAUUAUGAUUUUCUUCAUGAAUUUCACUUCACAAAAAAAAAAUAGUUACAUAUAUAAAGUCAUUAAGCUUUUAAAAUAAUAUCGUUUGCUUUACUUGGAUCCAAUCGUUGUUAGUAGUACUUAUUGAUAUCAAAGCUUUCAACGUGAUAAGAUAGGCCUUGCAGAAUAUUUGCCUAGAGUUUCCACGUAUGAAGCUUGGAUAAAGGUACAGUUAGGAUACGUUAACAAAAAAAAUUGUUAGCUUCGUCGUUGGGUAUAUAUAGCUUAAAAAGUUAACAUGAUAAUUAUGAAGCCCCAUGUAUGUACGUGUUACCACCAAUUUGUUUUGAUAAUUAUGGGUUGACACUUUUUUCUUUUUCCAUACCACCACUCAUAUACCAUCUCCUUUGGCAUUUUUUAUUUCUCUUCUCUUUUAUCAUUCCAUUUCUCUCCCUUCCAUCAAACUUGUCAGUGUAGAAUGAAGUGUUUGCCAUAUAAAGUGGUCAAUGUAUCACUACUCUUUUGUUUCAACUUGUCUUUGUUUUAAAGUUUUAGCUGGUUUUUUUGUUACCGUUUUCUAAGGUAUUGUCCACUUUGAGAAGGGUAAAGGUUUAUAAACUACCAUUAACCUUUUUUCUUUUCAAGCAACUUGAACAUUAUUAGUACAUGAAAAUAGAGUUCUUAGAUUGCAAUGAAACAGUACAAAAACCCUAAAUUCUGUGUAUUCUUCAGUAUUAUGGUUAUGUUUUUUCAGCUUGAAUCUGGAAAAAACAAUAAUAUUUGGAAUAAAGUUUAGACCAAGGCCAAGUGUCUUUUCAAUAUGUCAAACAUGGAGGGGCGUUUGUGAAUACUAUAAUUGCUUGGACCGUGUUGUUUAAGGGAGAGAGGGCUCCUUGAUAAGACAAGAUUAAUAUUGAUGUUUCAUUUCAACAUUACUAAUCAAUGAUUUUCUAGACUAAUUUAAAGCAAAUUAACAAAAAGAAUAAAGUUCAAUACAAUUAAGGGUGUUUAACACUUCUUUAAUCUUCCUUCCUCAUUUGUGGCACAAUGCAUUGGACCUAAAUAAAAAGUUUGAUUAUAAACAUGGCCUACCAAGAUUGAUUAAUAGAACAUAUUCACAUUGACAAUAAUGCCAGACAAUUCUUUUCAUAUGCAGGUUCUCUUUGGUGCAGAAAAUAUUGAGGGACCGGUGGCUCAAUUUACUAUAAUUUCUAUACAAUUUCAAUUUUUCCAAAAGGAAUCCCAGCUCAUGCUCUUGUGAGACAAAUACACAGCAAAGUGUACAAGUACUAAUCAAAUUAAUUUUACAUAUAUAAUCAAUAAAAAGAAAAUUAAUUAUCAUAUCUUUUGUUGGGUAAUUUAUAAAAAAAAAAAAAAAAAAUUACAUAAUCAAAUUUUGAAUUUGUAAGUGUUUAUCAUAAAAGCAAAAAAAAUAAAAAAAAUUGUCCUACUUGAUAUUGAGAUAAGAACACAAAGGUUAAUUUGUACAAUGGAGAUACUUAAAGAUUUAGUUUGUACCCUUUUUAUACGGGGUACUUCCAAACAUGAGUGGUUCUAAUUAUUCCAACAACAAGAAUGAAAUUGCUACUUUUUCAUAUGUCAUACUCAUAUAGUUGUUACCAAAAAAAUACAUAUGUCAUACUCAUAUCUAGAAAUAUUUGCCCUUUUUAGUAAAUAGAAAUUAUAGAAUAGUAGCUAAAAUAAUGUUACUCCAACACAAUUGGAUUGGAUCUCAAAGGGUGCAAAUUAAAGCAAAGACCUAACUAGAGAAUUAUGUUCAAGGAUUUUACCUUGAAGCUAGUCAUUAGUCUUUAAACGUGGUUAAUUAAUCUGGUGCCCUUCAAUUAAUUAUCUCUACACACUAAACUUUGAUGAGAUAUGAUGAAGUCCAAUUUUAGAUUUUGUUACAUUAUAGCUAGCUGUUUCGUAUAUAUGUUCCCAAUCAUUUGCUGUCAGAGAAUAUUGAUUCCCAUAAAAUGAGACAUCAAUUUUGAUUGCAAGGAAUCAAAAUAAAAAGCAAAAAAAGACGACGAAGACGUAGCUUACCAACUUUUUUUUAUUCACAUUUAUACGACCCAAUUGAUUUUUUGGUUAUAUUAUAUAGUAGCAAAUAUACAAAAGACAACGAAGCCGACACAUAUUAUUAACGUAUAGUAAUGGAAAAAUAUCAACAUUUUACAAUUUUUGGAGUUUGACUUGGCUUAACAGCUCAUAUGAAAAUAUGAAAUACUAUAAGAUAAGUCUGCAAGCUUAUGAUGAGGUGCGGAUAUUUAAAGUAUCUCAUAAUUUUUUUUAUUUAUAAUUUAAAUGUACAAUGUAUACAAUUGGAUGGCUGCAUUAGGACAUGGCUAAAGCCAUGGAAGCAUCACAAUGUCAGAGCCAACACAGGCUUUCGUAUAAGAUAAUAUUGUUUGUGUGUAGACGAAAUGUCUUACACCAUCGAAAAUUCACACAAAUGCGAGAUCUAGAGUUAUAACUUAAGUGAAUGUGUAUAAUCUAACGAUAUUAGUAUAUUGUCGAUUGAAAUAAUAGCAUGUUUGGAAUGACGUUAGUUUUUCCAAAAGCACAUCUGCACAGUACCCAAUGCAAUUCUACUGUAAUCUUAAGAAAUUGGUAACUGAGCUUCUGCGUUAACGCCUGCUUUUGCCCUAAUUUUGAAAAAAAAAACAUGGAUUACAAUCGCGUAUCCAAACAGAGACUAUGUUUUAUAGAUGAGGAUAAUACUGAUUUUUUUCCGUUAAUGAUAUUUAAGAGUGUGAAAUUGUUGAUGAUGAAAAAAUUAAGACCUGGUUUAACUUCUUUUGGUAAACUAAGUUCUACAAAUAUUCAUGUAGACUUAUCAUUUGAUAUAACAAAUUCUUUUAGCGGAUUCAAACAUCUAUCAUUUAUGUCAUUCUAUGUUUUAGACUACUUUUACAAAGGCAACCACAACGAGAUUACAUCAGGGACAGCUUUGCAAUCUCAAAGCAAUCAAUCUGAGUUACAACCACCAUUUCAAAACUGCUCCUUCAUCAAUCAUAAAACUGCAGGAGCUACUGUGUCAUCGGUAGGUGGCCGAUGGAUGAAAAAAGAAACGAACAUGUGUUGUUUAAAAGAUGACUUUUAAUCUCAAACAUCUAUUUUUAAUAUAAGGGUCGAUAUGUAUUCCGAUAAUUCUCACAUAAAAGUUAUUCUCACUAAAUAUUGCCUCUACUAUUAAAAAGAAAUUGGAUCCCUCUCCGAUGUCAAACCAUGUUGGUAGACCGUGUUUAAUUGAACAAAAUAUUGUUUAAUUUUUUUUAUGUAAUUUCAUUUAUAAAAAUAUUUUAUUUUUUUCUUUUUCAGAUAAAUGUUUAAGAAAUUAUUAGGACAAUUUUCUUUUUUUUUUACAAGUAGGACAAUGUUUGUUAAUUGUGAGAGGAUAAAUACAUCAUACAUUGAGUAUUGGUGGAAUACUCUAGCUACGAAAUCCCACAUCAAUUCAUUGAUUAUUUAGUUUAAAAUGGGUAAAAAUGAAACACACCUUCUCUCUCAAACAAAUUUUUUUAUAUACCAUAAUAGUAAUAUUAUACAUUUUAUCUUUCACAAAAAGUUUCUCUAAAAAAAAAAUCUUUCACAAAAAGUUCAAAAGAUUGUGUAUCGCGUGAUGUGUUUUCUAGGUCUAUGGAUAUUGUUUUUAAAUGGGAUCUUAUUGUCUAGAAAGGAUUAACGGUGUAGCUUGUUGUUUAUUUGUCUUUCAUUUUUGUGUAAUUUUCCGUAAAUAUUGAGAUUGAAAUUUUACAAUAAUUUAAAUAUUUGAUAACAAUUUAUUCAUGUUAAUUAAUAGGUAGGCAUGUUUUGUGUUACUUUUUGUGAAUGGAGUACCUAUUUAAAUGAUCAACAAGCAAAGAGUCUAUUAUUUUUCUAUUGAAUGGCCUUACCUUCCCCAAACAUGCAUGCUAAUUACUAGCCAGUUCCUGAUAUAGUGAUUUAACUAUCUAGUUUUCUUUUUAUGUUAGUCUUUGGAUUCAAGUGGCCAUUCAACUAAAGAGAGUGAAGACCCAAGUUCAAAGAAUUGUAGUUUAUGCAUAUGUAAUCAUUAAUCCCCCUCCCCCCUUUUACAUUUUAGGGAGUCCUCCAUUCAUGACGAUAAUACCCUAGCUAGCUAACAGGGUGGUCACAUAAAUGUUACAUUAUCUCAUUAAAUUAAUGACCUUGUUUCUUUUAAAUUGUCAUUUUGAGAUUGUUUACACGUAACUAUGAACAAAUUUUGUUACUUUAGUAGAAUUAUAUUUUAGUAUUUUAUAAAAUAUUUUUAACUAUUUGCUAUCUUAUAUCCCACUUGAAUUGGUAUAGUGGUAUAGACUUGGAAUUUAAAAUAUUAGGUGGUCUGAAAUCGCGGCGGUCUUUUUUUUUCAGUUGAUUUGGUUACUGUACGCUUGGAUUGUGUGGAAUGAGCGUAACUGCAGGUUAUUUAAGCAGAAAAAAAAUACUAUGUUUUAAUUAUUAGAAAAAGUUAAGUCGCAUUCUUUAUGGUGUCUUCAAGCUAAGAAAGUCCGUUUUGUUUUUGGGACUCAUAUGUGGUGGUCGAACCCGCUUGUUUGUUUGGAUAUCAGCUUAUUUGUAUAUGUAUUCAGGUGCUGAUUUUGUAUAUUUUUCGUAGUCUCUUUAGUACACCUUAUGUUGAAGAGAGUGCGUGUCAGUGUUAAUAUAUAUCAUUUUUGCUUGUUAAAUAAAAAAAGGUUCAACUAUCCCUAAUAACAAUUUCGAUGAGUUAGUUUAGUUUUUCAAGAUCAAACAUGUAACCAUUUUCUUUCCAAAGACAAACACUUUAACUAUGACAGACAAUGGUAAUUUAUUUAUUGUAUGUCUAUGCAACAUCUACAACCUAGCUAGAUGUAGGAUUGCCACUUUGGUCUGCCAUUCUUUUGUGUUUUUGAAGUGACAAACACAACAUUCACUUUUGAUAAGAUAUAGCAUAUCUUUCUUCCCUCUAUUUUGGAUUUGAAUACUUUGUAGUUUGUAGUCACUUGCAUAGGAAUGGAACUCAACUGUAAUUUGGUAAAAUUAAAAUAUUAGUCCAAAUGUAUAUUUAAGUUUAAGACGAAUUCGUCAAAAACAUGUUAACAUCGUGAUUUUGUGAACCUCUAAAGUCUAUAUAUGCCAAAGUUACGGUAGUUCACCGUCCUUCUGCAACCUCACGUUAAUUAAAAUGUGUGUGGAUCUCCUAUAGGUGUUUUAUGGUGUGCCAUAAAACAUCCAUAGUCCACAUACGAUCCAUACAUGCAAUAAAUCGUUUGAUCUUCGUUCAGUGGUGGAGAUUCAUUAACCGUGUGAGCAUGGCUGCCAUUUUUAUUUUGUAAUAUUCAAUCAUUCAAAAUUGUCCUGUUUACGUAUACAUUUGUGAGGCAGAAAUGCAGGCUACAAGAAAUAAACAAAGGACAAAUACAUUAUUGUUGACUGUCUCAUUUGUAUAUGGAAGUACAGUUGUUUAUUUCUAUUAUUAACUUUGGUUUUAGUACCCUACCUAAAAAAAACUACACUUUCAUUUGUAUAUUUCCACACAACCACACACAAGUCGUAUGAAGUCAGAAAAUUGACAUUGAAGAAAACCAUAUUUAAUUCAAAAGAUAAGUAAUUUUCAUAUUGCAAAAAAAAUGAACCAUUGAGAUAGUUAGUUGAAUUUUCAGCAAUUUUUAAGGGAAGAAAUAUGACCUUAACCUUCUCAUAUGUCAAAAGCAAUUUUGCAUUAUUUAUUCCUAAAUGAUGAUCAUAUUGAAAAAAAAUCAUCUCAUAAAAGCCAAAAACAAAUAGAAACUUGUUCAAGAAAAGGAAAGGGUGAUAGAGUUUUCAAAAUUUUGAGCCUUAUCACCAAAGGGAACAAAAGAACCUAGAGAAUUAAGGUUUCUGUUAUCAUCAAUUUAAUGCACUAUACUAUAUUUUGCAUACCUUGCUACUCUCAGGAUGUACUUGUCCACAAGAGAAUUUUUCCUUUCUAAUAUAUUUUAGUUAAUUUAUAUUAAUUCAUAUUACUUUACUUAGAGUAGGUUUAGACUAGCAAAGCUACCCCUUCAAAUUCCAUAUAUAGCAUUAUUUUUCAAUUAUAUCAUGCAAGAAUGGGGACUUUUCGUCACAUUUUAUAACUUUCAAAUGCACAAUAUAAGAAUCUCUGGUCUAAGCAGCAUGGCACAUAACAACCAAGGUCGGUUUAAAGUGAGAACUUUCCUAGCUAGCUUUGUAGCAUUUGUUUAGCAAAAUUUGGUAUAUAAUAAUGAUCAUCACUCCUCAUAAACUAAUAACUACAAUAUAAUAAUAUAUUAGUUACAAUUACAUACAAAAAAGUCAAACUAGCUAUAUAACAUUGUGAUGUACUUGCACUACUCUCCUAUAUGCAACCAUUGGAUAUGAUGUAGCAACAGUUACAUUUGGACCGUCCGAUAAUGAUUGGUGGGUCCCAUUUGAUUAUGUAGAUUGUUUGUCCCGUGAAGAAGGGAGUAAAGUCAUAUAUAUACAUGUAUAUAUUUCAUAAGAAUUCAUCGGAUCUUAAAAAGAUAUGAAUUUGAACACCGCUAUCGAUGUAAGGAUUUCGUUAGUUAUAUAUAUAUCUAAGUAUAUUUGUUAGCGGUCGUUCAGGAUUGAAAAUUUAUGUGACCUUAAUGAAUACUAUAGACCCAACACGCGUAAACUUUUAUUAAUAAAAAAAUGUGACAUAUAUAUCUUUAUUAAAUGGUACCUGUCCAAUAACCUAUUGAGUACAACUUUCUCUCCUCUAAGUCUCUUCCUAUUUAUUCAAUUCCCUAUCAAGCUGCCAUUUUAUUUUUUUCAACUUGCUUGUCUAAGGGUCUCUCUUAACACUUUCUUCUCCUCACCCCACCAAACGUUCCUCCCUAGUUUCCACAUAGGUUUCUUUGGACAGAAAAAACUUUAACAUCUUUAAAAAAGAGUUUCUUCCAAAGCAAAUUUUGUGAGUUGAAGAUAAGAUUUUGAUUAACGUACACAUGGGAAGACACUCUUGCUGCUACAAGCAGAAAUUAAGGAAAGGACUUUGGUCUCCUGAGGAAGAUGAGAAGCUUUUGAAUUACAUUACCAAACAUGGUCAUGGAUGUUGGAGUUCAGUCCCCAAACUAGCAGGUACAAACAUACAUAUAUAUAUAUAUAUAUAUAUUUUAUAUUAAUAUUGUUUUUCAAUGCUUCAUUCAUACAUUUUCAUCUGAUAUAUAUUUAAUCUUUUACAGGUUUGCAAAGGUGUGGGAAGAGUUGCAGGUUAAGAUGGAUAAAUUACUUGAGGCCUGAUUUGAAAAGAGGAGCAUUCUCACAACAAGAAGAGAAUUUGAUCAUUGAACUUCAUGCUGUACUUGGUAACAGGUAAUUGUAAUUUUAGAGUUUUGUUUUUUUAAUUAUGUGAUGGAAUUAAUUGUUGUUGCUUUAUAUCAGAUGGUCUCAGAUUGCAGCACAAUUACCAGGAAGAACUGACAAUGAGAUUAAAAAUCUAUGGAAUUCAUGUCUCAAGAAGAGGUUGAGACAAAGUGGCAUUGAUCCAAACACACACAAACCACUCUCUGAGGUUGAAAAUGACAAUGAAAAAUCACUCACAUCCAACAAAACCAAUCAAAAAGGUUCAGUUUCAUCCAAUGAAGUUAUGAGUUUGAUGAUUGAACCUACAAAACCUUCUAUAGAAGGAUACCCUCUAGAAGUUUCUACUACCUCAAAGAUCAACAACAGUAGUAGCAGCAGCCAUGAAUUAUUCCUGGAUACCAGGUUUGGUAGCAGUUCAAGUUAUUUUUCUUUCCAGAACUUGAACUAUGGAUCAAACAUAGGGAUUUCUGAAAAUCCAAAUGCAUCAUCUAUUUGUUUCACACCAACUUCAACUUCUUCACAAAUUAUGUCAGAUACAAAUUCUGUUAUAACUUCCAAUAUGCUCCAUUCUGUAUCACCCUCAAUUUUCUCAACUCCAACACAUGUUAAACCAACUGUUUCCGUUUCCUCGGUGGACGGAGUUCAUAACUGGGAAGCAAGUAGCUACAACAACAUUAACAACACAAACAACGGCGCUUUACCUUUACAAGAAGAAAUGAAAUGGUCUGAGUAUCUUAACACACCAUUUCUUAUGCAGAAUCAACCUUCUCCAUCAAUGUACACUGAAGCUAAACCAGAAACAGGUUUCAUAACAGAUGAAUCAUGUACUAGUUGGCAGCAGCAGCAACAACAAAAUUUUCAACUUUCUGAUAUAUAUAGCAAGGAUCUGCAGAGAUUUUCAGUGGCUUUUGGACAAAGUAUGUAGUCUGAAAGAGACAAAGAUGGUGAUGGAUAAAUUUCCUAUAUGAACUAUAUAGGUCAGAAGUUUCUUAUGUUUCUGACCACAGGUGUGUGCUGUAAAUUUCCCUUUUGAUAAAUCUUCCAUAUUGUAUAUGUGUCUGAUACCAAAAAAAAAUAUUACUUUUCAGCAUUAUGUAACAGUAUAAUAAUUAUGAUUGAUUCUAUUCUAUCUUAUUCCAAAUCAUUUUUUCCCUCAAGCAUAGAGGCAAUACUUCUGAAUAAGGUUUGUUCCAAUUAGGCUUGAAAAAUAUAUGUAUUUUCAUGGGAGUUUUGUGUAUAUAUAGUUGAAUGCAUUUUUUUAUAAUAAGGGUUCAAUUCAAUGUAUAUAAGCAUUAAGUUUAUGGAGCGUGUGUAUGAGUAGGUCCUUUUCAAAUUUAGAAUCCAUUGAGUUUCUCUCACAAUAUCAUAGCUGCAGAAGGGACCAUAUUUCUUAAAUUAGUGUCUGUCAUUGUCUUGUAAAGAUAGAGAUUGGUUUCACUUUUUUGAAAAACAUGAGCAUGAGCUCAACCCUCCUUCAUAGUGAUUGAAAGUCAAGAAUGUAUGUAUAUAUAUACAUCAUUUUUCUUCCUUUGCUUUUCUUGUUUGUUUGAAAUAGUCCUUCACAGUUGUACUAAAAAAAAAAAAACACUUUAGACAAACACUUAUGGACACACCACCGACUAUAUAGGUAUGAAAUUCAGUUCAUUUCAUUAAAGGCCACAAAAAAUAACUUAUUAACAUAUUUUCUUGAUUAAAGUUGUUGUACGGACACAGUGAUGCAAUCAAUUUUUGAAGGAGAUAUUUUAUUAUUCCCAAAGGGUUGUUCUAUUAGUCCCUUUAACCCUUUAGGUGAUAUAAAUCUAUUUUUCUAAGAGUCUAACGGUAAAACGCACACACACUAAAUACAAAGAAAAUAGAUAUUGCAGAUCUGAAUCUACACCCCAACAUAUCAAAUAUCUCUGCAACUUUUUUACCAUAUAUACGAGCUAUAUACCAGAAGGAUUUGACUUCCUGAGACGAGCAUCAUCCCUUCUUAAACCCUACAUAUACGGAAAUUUUAGCCCAUCAAACUGCUAUUUUUUAUCCUAUAUUAAUACAUAUUGGUUCGGUUGAUAAAUAAUUGAUUCAUACCUACAAGAGUGUGGGUUCAACUCACGCUUGCAACGUAAGAACCUCAUUAGCGGAUAGUACUUUUGUUAGCGCUAUUUAAACGUUGAAGUAUACACAAGCAUGCAAUUCACCUAAAUUUUUGAACUCCAAAAACGUUUAUCAUAUAUAUUUCAAAAGAAGAUAGAAAUAUGUAAUUGUAAUGUAUUGGGAAGUGACACAUAAUGUACCAUUGUACCAAUUCAAAUGAAAACAAAAGGGUUCUGUAUGAAUGCUCUUACAACGUGGUCCUAUACCUCUAAAAGCCUUAAACGUUGCAUCAGUUAACGGGUCCCUUGGGUGGGUAUCUACAUGUACUGAUUCUGAAAGAGAAAGUUGUAUCAUAAAUAAAGAGAAGGCAUGGGGUAUUCACUCAGACAUAACAGGAAUAACCGGGAGAGACAAAACAUUGCAGUCAACUACCUUCACUUUUGUAAAUCAUUACUUUAAAAUCAACAAAAAAUUACAUGCAACUUGACCUAGUAAACUCAGAAACUAUAUAAUUAAAAUAUUGACUUUGAAUUUACACUUUGACUAGAAGCAAGGUUAAAAAAUAUAACUAGUUACAACUUACAAAGCAAAAAAUUAUAUUAUGGUGCACUUUACAGUUUGGCAAUUAGUAAAAACAGUUUCAACGCAUAUGCAUGAUAGUGAUUCAUUUUCGUUUUCAACAUACUACUUUUAUCCAAUUUACUGAACUAAAGGUUAGUUUACAAACUACGUUACCAAAAGCAUAGGUCAUAUUUAAUCAGAGAUGUCCCUAUUAUAUGAAAAAGGUGAAUUUAUAUUAAAGAUUAGAAAUUUAGAAUUUGCUUAUUCAUAAGUAAGGACAAACCAUCAUCUUCAAUCUUUGCUCCAUGUGAAUAGAUAUAUUUUCAAUUAGUCUUCUCAAUUAUUUUAUAAUUACAAACUGAAUGUUUCUAAGAUUAAAAUUGUUGUUUAAUUAUUUUUGGAGAUAGUGAUGUUGUGUUAUGUUUAAAAUAACAACCGUGCAUGUGAAGCAAAUUAUUGGGCCUAUUUUGAUGGGUCCCUACAAUCAUCACUGCACAGGAAAAGAACAAAAAUCCCAAGAGACAUGAUAGGGUGGUGGCAAUGCAAUCCCAAGUUUGAUUCCCUAGCGAAAUAUUAAUAUAUAAGUAUAUGUAUGUAUAAUAUAGUUGAAUUAUAUUAAACAAGCUUCAUUAUAAGUUUUAUGUUUUAUAUUAUUUGCAUUCAUAUAAUUGUGCGAGGAACAAACAAAUUAUAUUCAAACCUUAUAAUGUAAAAGGCAACAAGGACAAGUAAGUAAUAAAAAUAAAAUAAAAAAGGCUGAUUAAUUAUUAUGGAGAGAUGAUGAUUGAAUUGAUAAUGACGGUGUUGAUGAAGGUACAUAUAAAAUAGACUUAUUAGAAUAAUUGUUCCGGUGACAGAUAAUUGAUACAUAGUUUUAUGAAAGUGAAAGAGAAUAAUAAGAAUAAGAAUGAGGCAAAAGUUGAAUAAACAGCAAAAUGAGUUAGCAACUGCAAAGUCAUGAAUAUGUUCAUGGGAAGUCAAUGAGAAAGAUAUACUCGGUCCGUACAUAAAAUAAGUAAAAAGAAAAGAUUUGACUUCCAUAAACUUUUGUUGUUGAUUGAAGAAAUUGGCUAAUUAAAAGCUAUUAAUUAAUAGUGAUUUUUUUAGAAAGAAAUUAAUUUUGUUUGUGGGCUUGAAGCAUAUAAAUUUGAGUAAAAUAAUGGUUGUAUUGAUUGCGAAAUUUAAAUCCAAAUUCAAAUUUGAAAUUCUAUCUCUUGAGAAACUCACAUUUUAUCUAUAAAAUGAACUUGAAUUAGAGUUCAUUCACUUUGAUCUGAACCAAAAAACUGAAUUUUAACUAAAACUUCCAAAAAAAAAAAACUCAAAUAACCAUAAAAAUGUCAAUAGUGUUAUGGACGUAGAAAGAGUUGGAGGAGAAUCUUGAGUAAUGGUAAAUCCGACAUCCAUAGGUGCACCAAUUUAGCUAACUAGUCUGCAAUAGAGUUGAAUUCGCGUAGAAUAUGAGAACAAGACAAUUUCCAAGACAAUAUUUCCAAUAAUUAAUUACAGUAGUAUAUGGAUGCGUUGAAUAAUAUCUCUAAUAGUUAUUCCUUAGUAGGCCACCAUAUCUAUUAUCUUGAACGCCUGAGGUAGCCAAGAGAACUACAAUCCUUUAUCCAAGAAUGAUGAUAAUCAGUAAGGUAAUAAAGAUUACUAGUAAAAACAGUAUAUUUCCAAAUAAGCAUCACCUUUAAACAAUGAAGAAAAGACUAUUGAGAAGCGCUAUAUCUGGAGGAAGAGGCAUCUAAAGUAGUAGGACGAAUAAGGUUCAUAGAAAGUAUACCGUAAACAACGUGCCAGAUAAAGAAACAGAUAUAUGUUCCAUGAGACAUUUUAACUUCCAAAAGCAACAUUGAUAUUUAUUAACUAAGAGUAGUCUCUUGGUUCCCAAAUAAGAACAUCCUACAGACUAGGAUUCGUGAAAACACUUCGCAUCCCGUGACAACAUUGAGUAUAUCCCUCCCUUUUCAAUGUAUUAAAUACAUAACUUCAUAUAAUUCAUUAGACUUGUUAAACAACGCCCUUAGGGAUCACAUUAGCAUUUGCCAACAUUUGAAGGUAAUGAAACCAUUGAAUUUUACUUAAAAUGUGUUUAAGUGAGGUUAUCAAUGUUUACAUUUACCAGAGCUUUAAUUAUUCUGGCAGGGACAAUUUCAAUGAUGGACGAAAUAUAGUGGUAAGCCUUGUGUACUCUGCAUGAAGUUAAAUCAAGACAGCAUAUAUAUAAUUUUUACAUGCAACAUUGUUCUAACUUCCAAUUAUUAUGUUUUUCUAUUAAGGGUGUCCUAAAAGGCUUUGACCAGGCAACAAAUAUUAUUCUUGUUGAGUCACAUGAACGAACGCGUUUAUUCUACCAAGGUAUGAAUAGCAUUCUGCAUUUGUUUAACUUUAGAAGUUGAUUAGUCCUCAUAAUUGCAAAGUUAGGCGUGUUUGAUGAUGAAAGUGUUCUUGUAGUUCAUGGCAUUGUAUGUUAAGCAUCAAAUCUUGCUUCUUGAGCUUGCAAUGCUACCAUUCUGUCAGAAAUGAAAUGAAUAUCGGGGAAGGUGUCCAGCAGCUGGUUCUAGGUUUAUACAUCAUUAGGGGUGACAACAUUUAUGCCUGAUUCUCCGAUAUAUUUUCAAUUUUAUCUAUUCUGGAGACCCCGUCUUUUUACACCAUAACCCUACUCGUUUGGAUUUUGCAGAACUGUUGUUGGCAAACUGGAUGAAGAUCUAGAUUCCAGCCUAGAUUUGUCCAAGCUUAGAGCUCAUCCCUUGAAGCCUGUCAUCCACUGAAGUAAACUUAUGUUCGUUGUUAGGGCUUCGGAGAGGCUUGCUUGCUUGAUAGAAAGGGUUGGAUCAUUUCUUAUUACAAACAAAACUACAAGGUGAAAUGAAUGUGCAAGAUCACGCUGACACAUAAUAUGCUAAAACAGAGGCAAUAAUCUGGCGUUUCUUGGCUGAUGAUGACAAAACUGUCAGAACAGCUUAUAAACUUUGCAUGAAUUCAACGAUGAACAUAAAUUGAAUCCAAGUUGGAGCCGAUUAGAGUAUAGUCACCAGCAGCCGAGAAACGCCGGAUUAUUGCGUCUACGUGAAACAUUUUUGUUGGAGGGCUGUUAGAUACAUUUUAACGCGUCUUAUUAACCUUCGAAUUCGAGGAGUCUCUUGUCCAAACUUGUGUGUGAUGUGUGGGAGCUUGGUGGAGGACUCGCGGCAUAUUUUCUUUGGCUGUCCUCGAGCAGUAUAGUGUUGGCAAGAGCUAGAUUUUUGGCGACAUCUAUAGCCUAUCGUUAUAUAGUGGGACAGUUUUCCAAACAACUUUUUCAAGGUUUGCAACGUUCUUGACAGUGAGCAAAAGAUUGUUUGCUAUGACUUUAUGGAGUAUUUGGAAGUGUAGGAACCAAUGCCUUCGAGAGGGGUCUCUUUUAAGUCUGGUUCGUGUCUGGAAUGUAGCAAGAGACACGUUAAGUGAAUACAAAUGGGUGAGGAGGAAUCAGCAAGAGUUCAUUUUAAAGGCGAAGUUUAUAUUAUUCUCCUCUCUCCAAACUGCUCAUAACUUGGGGAUCACAAAUGUUCAUUUUGAAUCUGAUAGCAAAGUGUUGUUAAUGCUAUCAAGAUUCAAGAUAGAUGGCUAAUGAGUUAGGCACUCUGGUAUCACAAUUUCAAAAUGUUAAAGCUACUAAUGUUGAUUAUCAGCUGGUUUUUGUCCGAAGGCAAGUUAAUAGGGUUGUUCAUAGCUUGCUCAAAACUUCAAUAUUAUAUCCUCGUACUUGCGAUUUUGUUCCUUUAUGUAUCACUCCUUCGAUUAUUGAAGAAAUGAUAUAAUCCUACUUUACUUACAAAAGUUAUAACGUAAUUUAAAUUAAAAUCUUCUUUCCUUGCUUUAAAUUUCCACAUCAUCGAUUAUAGCGAUAAAAUAUUGCUGCCUUAAAUCAAUUCCUCUUGCUUUUUCCAAGUAGGGCACUAGAUGAUGAUUAUCAUAUGUGUUCAACAUUAACGAUCAUCAUUGCUACAUACAUCAGAUAAUCUCAGACCAAAAAAAUCAAGUCAAUCAACAACUGUGACAAUCAAAACAAAUUCACUUCAAAGAAUGUUAGUUGUAGAUGUCAUAAGGGUGAAAAAGUUAACUAUUUUGCAUUUUUCUGUUACCCGCAUGCGAAGUAACUACACUUCUAUUCGGAUUGAGUGGAAAACUCUAAGCGCGGACAUGGGUUCAAAUGUAACAUAGAAGGGAUUUUAAAUACCUCAGAUCGUCACUGCGUGUGGAGGUGUGUUCCGGGAUAGCACUGGAGUUUGGCUUGGUGGUUUUGUUCAGUGUUUGGGAUCUUGGCGGAACUUUGAGGUAUUCUCUUGGCGUUCCACAAGGCGUGGGCAAUGGUUAUGCUUUGUCUUUUUAGAGUCGGAUUUGGUAAUUUUUCUAAUCGACAAGUAACCGUAACCAGUCUAUCUAUAGAAGAGAGUGGUAAGUUACUUUCACUCAUAUAUAGGCACACAAACAAGAUAGAUGGCUGGCAUGCAAAUCACGCUCUCUCUAUCUGCGGAUAUUAGCUCCUUAAUCCACCCUCCGUCAGGUUGUGUCAACCUGUUAUGGAAGGAUGUUGCCGGAGUUUAUUUUAAUUGUCGUAUCCGCGUGUUGUUCGGGGGAAGGGAAGUGAAGUGAUAAGAAAAAAUAGGAUUCAAUUCGUACCCCCUACAAAAUAUUAACUAUACUAAUAUUUGUCAUAUCAGAAAACUGAUGAUUAUUGAUAUUUGUCAUCAGAUAAUCUCAGACCAAAAAUCAAUGCUGCAUCAGAUAAAUUCACACAUCAAUAGUGGUGACAAUCAAAACAAAUUCACUCAAAAGAAUAUGUGAAUUGUAUCUUCAAUCAACAAUCAGUCAACAAAAAUUCAAAGUGUCAGGCUAGUUUAAUUGUGGUAAUAUGGAAGUCCAAAAGGUAAAAUGAGGAACCCUUUUAUUCGAUUCCCAACUAAAAGGGAAACAUCGUAUGGAGAUAAUCUCAGUUCAAUCACUAUCAAUGCUCAUCUUAUUACAAUGUAUAUAUUUUGGUAGUCUAUUACCUCUCCCAAGCUUUGUAAAAAUCAAAAGGGAUUUGCUUAGCAUUCCCCACUAAUUGAUCUAUACAUAAAAAUUUCUCUCCCUAACUACUAAUUCUUGGAAAAGGCUUAUUGAGUUUUCAUUUUUCAGUAGCAAUUUUCUUUUAUUGUUUUGAUCAUUGAUUGAAUAGCAUAUUUCAGAAUUGUUGAUGAGAAAUGAACCAAGCGAGUGAGUGAGAUGAGUGAGACAGAAGAAGUUUGGCUCAUCUGAAAACCAAAUGGUGGCAUGUGUUAUCACAAGGGUAAGGACAAUCAAUGUCCUUAACUGCGGCUCGGUCAAAAUACCAGUCUCCAACAGCCAGAGCAAUUGCCUACAUAUUGUCAAUGCAUAAGGGUUAGAUAUGACAUAUAAACAAUAAGAUCUUAAAUCUUAAAAAGAGCAGUAUGAGUAGAUUUCAAAGACUAACGAUAGAAACUAAAGAGCAACAGAAAUAGCAGUGUCAUGAAAAAUAAUGGAAUCAUCACCGCUGCAUAACACUAUGUUAUAUUAUGGCUAAUAAACAAAGAAAGCAUAAACAAUUUCCUAGAAUUCUCCAUGUGAAUAUUUUAUGGCAAAAACAGGUGUAAUUAUUUAGUAAUUAUAAGCAUUAUUAUUUUAUUUAUUUAUUUAUUCAGGUCUUUAUAUAAUAUAAUCGCAUACCAGCACGGAAACCUAUAAUAUUUUAACUAGAGCUGCAUAGGGAUAUGUGAAACUCACCUUGUUUCCUAUGACAGGAGAGUUGUCAGCAAACCAUGUGUCUUGCCUCUCAGAUUGGCAGUGAGCAAAGCAUGAAUUUAUGAACAAUCCAUUUUGACUUGAUCUUGAGAAGCCUCUCACAACAUUCACCAUGUGAUUCCUGAAUCCUGUAUCAGAUUAUAGUUAAAUGACUUUAUUCACUAACUAAAUUGUUGAGAAUUUUGUGUACUUCUAAAUUAAUGACAGCAAUUUCUAAUGCAUCAACCCACCUUGCAGAAAUUGGAUUUGUGAACCGGAACAUUUAUUAUGGUUUAAUCUGCAUUCACGCCAAUUGCCGUGGGGAUCGGCCGAUGAAGGAGCUAAGCUUGACUGGAUCUAUUGACAAAAAGAAAAUAUAUUUGUUAAAAAUAUGUCAAGCAAUGCAUCACAGCAACCACAGAUCAUAUAAUAUGAUUUAUUCGGAGUUUAGACGACCGAGUUAGAAAUAAGAUAUUUACCUGCCACGAGUCAUAGGCAGUAUUAAGAAUGAAUAGCGGGGUUCUGACACUGGCAAUCAAGUUCUCAGGAAAGAAGCACUGAAACAAAGGAAAAGGAUAUUACUGAAAGGUCAACUCUGAACAAUAAUUAACAACGGAGCACUUAGUUUUCCUCAAAUUCAUUCAAAUGAAACUACAAUUUCUAAAUAUUUAGAACAAGAGAUAUCAAUUAUUACCGAAGUGGGAUCAAGAUGAUUAGUACAAACGCGUGGAAGAUUCUUCUGCGCUCCCUGCAAUGAGUGCAAAAAAAUAUUUAUCAUCAAUCAUCAUGCUUUAUAUAAGGUUAUAUAACCAUGCCAAAUGACCAAGUUUUAAGCCAUAUAAACUAUUGUUUGUCAAAAAAAAACCCAUAUAAACUAUUUGGCAUGUGGUAGAUGCUCUAUUAAUAUUAAACAAAAUGUUUCAAAUUCAAGUGUAAGAAAGAUCCAUGGCCAAAACAGAAUGAUCUCAAGAAAAAAGUGCAGUACCUGUAGGGUGACAACACCGUUGAAAAAAUUCCUGAGGGUAUGCCCACCAGCUACAUCAACACUAUAUUCGGGGGGGAAAACAAUUAGGAAUUAAUUUCAGGACAAAAAAUGAUGUGAUAAUAAUGAUGGAAAUGGCAUUUGUAGAAUGAAAUACUGAAGUUAGGAACUCACGCAUUAAGAAAUAACCCAGCAUCACUGAGGCACUUCACUUUGGUAGUCCUUGGGAAAUGACCUCGAAAUUCAUCGCAGUGUAAAAUAGUAGCAAGACCACCAGCUGAGCAUCCAGAAAGAAGAGCCUGAAGGAAACAAAGUUGUAAAUAACACGAGAAGAAAGAUUACUUAAGCAGCAAUGUGCAUGCGCGCAUGUAUGUGUACAACCUGCUUGGCAAAACGCAUUCCUUUUGACAUCAAAUCCUCCACUGCAGCCAACCAAAUGCGCUGUCCUCUGAAUUGCAACUGCGCAGCCUAUGUCAACCGAUAAUAUUCAGAAAUUAGUACUUUGAAAUAACCCUACAUUACAUAGAUCGACUAAAGUCAUGUAUGUGCAUUAAGUGUCACUAGUGUUAUUUUCUCUUCCUUAUGCAUUAUUCAUACAGUUUUUCACACUGAAAUUGUGAGCACAUAUGCCUACUUUUCAUUCAUACAGACAUAAUGUAUGAUGUAUCUACUAUCAACAGCUAACACUAACAGAGGUGUAACCUAUGAAAAAAUGAAUAAAAUUGGCUAUCAUUUCAGUUUUGAAGAUUUACCUUAUCUUCACUAUCCCCGGUAAAAGAGGCACCAUCACAGUAACGAAUUUUCACUCUGUUCCAGUUAAAAAAAUCUGCAAUCAUAAGGAACAAUAUGAGCCACACAGUUAAGCAAAUCCUUUUGAGCAUAAUUGGAGUAGUCCAGAAACUCCAAAUAGUUUCAGUUGAAUGAAAACCUGGAUUCUCUUGAGCAUUAUUGCUUAAUAUUCCAAGUAAAAGGUAUCGCUUUUUCCAUGAAUUUUGAUGAUCCACGCCGUGUUGUCUUGCGAUAGACGCAAGUUCUACGGUUAUUACACCAACCACCUCCCUGCCACAGAAUUUCACUUAAAUAUCAAACCUGUGUUUGUAUAGCACCACCGAGGAAGUAGCAUUGGAAAUAAACAAUACUUCAAAACAGCAAUACAUGACAUGUAUUUAGAUAUUUUUCCUUCACAAAAAGUGUGUCCCAAACAACACUUUUAACAAGAAAUACUUCUGAUUUACCAAUAGAAAAACUUGUCAUCCUUUACAAUAUGAACAUAUUGAGAGAAAAAAAAAAUAUAAGAAGCAUAUAUUAAUUAGAUCAUGUGAUACCUCUAAAUUAACAAGCCAGCUGUUUGCACCGGAUCCGUAUCCGUGAUCAAAAUGAUAAGCAGGCAAUGUUCCAUCCAAGCAGACUGCCAAAAACAAAUUAAUUUAGUAUAUUCAUUUUCAGCCAAAUCAAAAGCUACAGAUUUUAAGACAUUGAGUUAAUGAACAAUUUUUUGGCAUAAACAGCCAAACAAAGCUGAGUUGGUUACAUGCAUUUUUUUUAUUCACAUAUAUAACAUGGCAAGUUAGGGGUAAAUUUUGUGAAUGCGUAAUAACUUUCAGAAACAAAACUUCAAAGGAAUUAAAAAUAUAAAAAAAAUAACAUUUUUAAUUGAUAAUAAAUUACAUACAUUCUAAAUAACAAAUUAACAAUAGAUCUUAUAAAAACAUAAAAUGAAUGUUACAUAAAAAACAACAACUAAUCAAUUAUGUUUCUCAGCUCAUAUGAACUAAUAAUCAAAUAAAAAAAAAAAACUUUUAUUUAUAUCAAAGAAGGUUAGAAAUGGAUUAUACCAGCUCCUUUAGCAGCAGCAGAUUGAAUAAGGGUUAUUCCAACCAUGUGAGGCUGAGCCACAAGUGAAGAAAAAGAAGAAGCUUCAUGAGCUUCUAAGAUAGAGAGUUCAGUUUCAUUGAUGUGAUAAUAUGCAUUUGCAUCAACCCAGUUGGUGAAAACAAGUGCUAUUACAAUGCAAACCCAGAAAAGGUUCACCAUGGUUAUUGUUUCUUCUAAAUCUUUGUGUUUUGUUUUGUGAAAGAAACAAAACACAAAGGUGCAAAAUUUUUGGUUUAUAGUAGGAAAGAAGGGUUAUUUAUUCUCCUCACCGAUUAAGGGGUAAUUAAUUAGUAAAUUAAUAUUAUAAAUAAUGAAGGGUAAGAAGAAGAAGGAAGAGAAGAAGAGAAGUGGGAGAUUUAGAAAGGAACAAGACAAUGUAUGUGUUUGCCGGGCUUUUUAAGGUUUUUGUCUUUAUUCCUACAGAUAGAUUAAGGUUUUUUUGGAAGCGCAUGAGUUUGAAUCGGGAUCUUAUAUAUUUAUACAUUGCCGUUAUUAAUUGAGUUAAGUUUAUAGGAAUCAAUUAUACUAAAUUAUAAAAUUAUCGAGGAGAUUUGAUCAUGUCUCUUAUCAACGAUUGUUGUUGGAGUUUUUUUAAGGAUUUUGUUUCAUCAAAAAAUUAAACUAAAUUUUGGAGGAUUUAUCCUUUCAUGAGGUUGUUAAUUACUUGACUAAAAAAAAAUAGUUCUUACAAAAUAUUUUAUUUUAUUUUAAUAGAGUUCUUAUGAAAUUGUUUAUGCAAAAUAUUAAAAUGUAAAUAAAUUUGCACCAAAAAAAAAAAAAAAUGUAAAUAAAUUCACUUUAAGACUACAUUCAAUGCAUAUAAUGACUAUCUUUGAAUGUCUAAUAUCUAUCGUAUUAAAUAUUUUACUUAGUUUUCGUCAAAAAUAACGUUUUGUUCAUUAAAAAAUAUUUUAAUCUUAUAAUGUUGAGGUGCAGUUUAAGAUUUAUAUUAAAUAGAUAGAUGUUUUCUUUAAGGGAUAUUAAAUAGAUGUUUGAAUACCUUUUUUUCUUUUUUUUUUGGGAUAACAUGUUUGAAUGCUUUAAUAUACUAUAUCAAAAAGAAGGCUGUAAUUGCAAUUUUUCCUUUAUUAUAUUUUAUUGUGUCAAAUAAUAUUUUUUAAUAAUAGGAUUUGUCUAAAUAUAAAAAAAAAAAAAAAAAAAAUAUUAAUAAUAAUAAUAGGAUUUGUCUAUGUUAACUAACUAUUAAAAAUAAAUGUAGUCUUUGAAUAUCAUAUCCAAAAAUCAAAUUCAAAAGAAACCAUCAAGUUUUUUUUUUAGUUUCUUUCCUUCAAUGGAUCAUGAAAAUAUUAUUUUAUAUAUUUAAAUUAUGAUCCUUGAUUAUUAUUUUACACAUCCAUCAUCUUUUAAACUACAUCUACAAAAAUCAUCUUAUUAACUAACAAAAUUACACAUAAGCUCCCCAACUUAAUUCGGUUGAUAGGGACAUUACAUAAUAUAUAUCACUGAACUAUUUGACAAAAAAUUACGCAUAAGCAAGUUUUAUUUUUAAUAAGUUAAAUUAGUUCACUUAAAUUAGCACGGAUGAGAAUCGAACCUAAAACUUAGAGAAGGAAGACAAUGUCAGAUCUCAAAUCAAUACCACUAAAUCAACCUAAACGGAAGCGCUUAACACAAAUUAGUUGCGAAACAGAUUAAUUUUCUAUCCAAUUCAUAACUGCCGACAAUAACAAGAAAGAAAACUCAACUUAAAUUCAACUUAUGCGUCAGCUUAUGUUAAUUUACUUAUUUUCUUUAAUUUGAUGAUGACCAAGAUUGGAAUCAUGAAACUUUUCCUUCUUAGCUAUACGUUAUACUUAUCAUAUCAAAGCUUGUUGUUAUCAAUGGGCACACAAGAUAGGAUUAUAAGUGAUUACAGAUCACAAAUACCACUGACUAACUAAGUGACAUAAACAUUUGGUGUAACGUCAAAACCUAUUGUGACUAUAGUGACCAAUUCUCACCUCAAAUCCACCCAUAACUCAUCACUUGCUUAAUUAACCUGAGGUCUACGUUCCGUUCACGCAACAUCUUUAUUUUCAUUCUUGCAUGUGUGCCUCUAAUUUAUAGAUUUUAUAUAUUUCAAUGAAUACCCUUAUAUAUAUAUAACAUACAUUCACACAAGUUUGCACAUUUCUCACGCAACACAUUCGUUAACCAAGUUAUGUGCACAUUUAUGAGAGCUUUUGACCUGUGUUGAUCAAUAUUGGACUUGUGUGUCCUCGUCUUGUCUUGAUUAUAUUUUACGUUAAGUUUAUUUUUGUUUUUUGCUCACGUCAAUUUGGAGCAUAUGAUAUGUUUAUAUAAUGUUUUAAGAUUUGAGAACAAUAUUUUUUUCUUAUGGGUUCUAUAAAAAAAUUCAUAGGGCAGAAUAAUUUUUUAACAUAGCUAAUUUGCUUAAAUAACUACCAAGUUACUUUGAAAACAAAAAAUAUAACUGUCUAAAAAAAUGCACAUGCAUGAUGCAUCACGUUUAUAAAAUUAUUUAUUUUGACUAAGCUAAAAUGAGAUUAUAUUACCAAAUAAUCCGAGUCCUCCAAGCACAAGACGUAUUUUGGGUCUUGAUAACGAGUGCCCCGGGACACUCUUUAAGCAUUCUAAAAUAAAAAAUUAUACUUUAAAAAGUCAAAUAUUUUGAUUUUCAAUGUUUUGAAUACGCGUAUUUUUAUAAAUAUUAACCAUUUAUAGUCCUUAAAAAAUGCUCGUAGCACUCGUUAGCAUUUCUCCUUAUAAAAUUAUAGUAAUUAUUUUUACUUAAAAAGGUUAAGAAAAGGAUCAUUUCCGCAAAUCAACAUAUUGAUUGAUUUUAAGAAAUGCUCGAGGUGGAUAAGAUCUAAUAAUACAAUACUUUAAUGAAAAAUGCUAACAAAUCCUAAGAAUAUUUAUUAAGAAGUUUAAAGCAAAAAUUUAUUUUAUAAAUUGUGUACGUAUUCAUGAAAUUGAAACAUCAAAAAUUAAUUUUUUUUUUCUCAAUAAAUUUAUCAAUUGUUUUCUUUUUAAGAUUUAUUAAUAGAUGUCCUAAAGUAUUUGUUACCAUGAACCUAAUUCAAUUAGUCAUGUGAGGGGUGCCAUAUAUUAAUACGACCUGAUUGACUUUGCCAGAAAAAGGAAAUAAAAAUAGAGUUUAUGAAUCAAAAGACUUGUACACAUUUCAGUGCAACCCCAUUUGUAAAUGAAUCAACAUGCAGGAACAGUGAUUUUGCUAGAUCUAGGUAUUAAAGCCAAAUGUGGAUGUGUUAUCUUAAGUAAUCUCUCGUUCUUUGUCGGUUUUUUUAAUUUUUUUAUGAUUUUCAAUUGUCGUUUUUAAAGCGAUAUUACUGUUUUGUCAAAAUUAUUCAUACAUGAAUAGAGAGAGAAGUAUAAAAUAAGACAAAAAUAGUUAAGUGUAUUAUAAUAAAAUGUAAAAUAUUUUUUUAAAAGUAACAAAAAUUACUAGUUUUAUUGCUGUGUGUAAACAAUCUUAAAAUGACAACUAAAAAUGAACGAAAGUAGUAAUUCUCAUAUACUCAAAUCAAAUGGGUUAUGUUUUUCUACGUUUUUUGUCAAAAAAAUAAAAAUAUGUCUCUUUCUUCUCAUCUAGUACUAGUAAGAUGAUCAAUUUUAUAUAUAAAAAUGUAAGAUGAUCAAUUUUAUAAAAAUGAAAGUUUAACUCUAAUUAAUAUUAUUUGUUUCGCUCUUAACUCAACAUAUUCCUUUAGAUUUUCUUUCAAAACAAUAUUUCUUUUGGAUUUAUGAUAAUCAUGAAUAUAUCAACAGUUCUUUUAAGAAGUUAAAUUAUUAGUCCAUUCAAAUUGGCAUUGCGAAGAAUCUUGAAUAUAUCAUUUAGCAAAAAAAUAUUAUUAUCUUUUUAUUUUUGUUUAUAUAUUUCUUUUAUUUGGGUGAAGCUGUCAAAAAGAUCAAUUAUUGUGAUAUACAAAGGUGGGAGAUCUAAAAUAUUUCUCAAGCACAUGUGCAAGGGUGCAACUGCGUACACACCUAACUAGCCCUCAUGAUUUACUUGCCAGUUGCCACUUUAACUUAUUGAACACAAGUGAGAUCUUAUCAUAGUCACAUAUGUGAGUUAAUAUUAUUAUUUAUUUAUUAAUAUAUAAUUAGGGCCUUUUAAAAAAAUUAAAAUAUCAUUAUGAUAUAAACUUACAUGCUUUUUAUUUUAUUAUUAUGUCUAUCACAAAUCACAAUGUCCAUCUUUUGUUGUCUCACUCCUGAGUUUUUUUUUCUUUUGUUAUAUCUCUAACUUAUAAAGGAAACAUAAAUUUACUUUGUAUUAAUUAAAUUUGGUGUCAGUGUGUGCAUAUGUGCAAAUAUACUUUAAUUGUGGAACUGCAACUUAAUUAAAGGAAGAGGCAGAAGCAAAUAGAAGGGACAACUUUAGGUCUGGCCUGCAUUGAGCAAGAUAUCUUCAUAUACACCAAAGCCCUACCAAGUUAUAUAUCACGAUCCACAAUAUUAUUCAUUCCCAAAAGAUUGAAGCCUAGAUUAAAUUAAUUAAAUGAUAUAUUAAGAGGGGUUUAAUUCAGUUUGGUUUUUUGCCAAAUGGCAAAUGUUUGUGUACGUAUCCGUGUAGAUGCGUCGUUGAUAAUGCUUAUCUGAAUUCUCCACUCUAUUAAUUUGAGCAUAUAGUGUACUCCAUAUACUAUAUACUAUAGUAAUAGGCACGACUUUUUGGCUUAUAAUAUAAAAGUUCAUGUAAUUUUAUAGUGAUUUAAAGGAAGUCAAGAAAAUUUAAAAAAUGUGAUAAAUCUGAAUCCAUAUACUAUUAGUUUGAAUGAUAUAUAUAUAUAAUUGAUAAGGAGCUAGAAGAAGAGAUGGGAAUAACCAUUCAGAUCUUGAAAUCUAAAUCAUGCAAUAUUUUAUUCAAUUCAUCUGUUUUUCUUCUUACUUUUCUUGUAUCUUUUUAUUUAUCUAAGAAGCUUGCAUGUUUCUACACAUGGCAUGUCUCUACACUGACUAGUGACUACUAAACUGUUUUUUUGUUUUCUCCCUGCCAUUCCCCUUAAUUCAUAUUGUAUUAGGGAAAGAGGAUGGGUAUAUUAUGCAGCCAUGCAGACAUUGGAGGAUAAAGGGAAAAAAAUUAAUUAGAACUUUAGAAGGAAUUAGCCUCACCAAUUAAUUAACAUGGCAAUGGCUUUGUAUUAAAAAAAUAGCAUGGUGUAAUUUUAUUGAUGAUCAUGGAAAUAGAUUGUUUUGAUGAGGCUAUUCAAUUGCAUUCAGACAUUUGACAAUAUUUUAUGGGUUUAAGUACUUAACCAUAAAUUAAGUGAGUGAGACUAUCUGAAUCGUGCAUGGUGCACACAUCUAUUUCUUUUUCGUGUAGUUUUGUGAGAAAAAUUUGGCACAAAGUUUACGAGUGGAUGCUCAAUCAGUCAAUCUAACGUUCAAGGGGUGUGAAAAGUGUUAUUGAUGAGCUUCAUGGGUUAAAUGUAUUUGGUAGUUAUAUGGGCUCUUUCCUUAGCUCUUGGCUGAGUUUGGCCCAUUAUUUUAGUUACAUUUCUAAAUAAAAAAUAUAUAUAUAUUACCCCAUACCCCUAUUUUUAUUGAAAAUUGUUUUUCCCAUUUUAAAACACAUGGAAAUCAAAUUACCAAAAAACCCAAUGGAAGUUAAUUACAACUCGCUUCAAAAGAGAAAAGUGAGUUAUAGUUAACUAUUGUUGGGGAUUUUUUGGUCAUUUCCAUGUGUUGUUAAACAACUUCUUAUGUGAGAAAAGCAAUGUUCAUUUUUAUUUGUCUGCACCUACAAACCAUAAGAAAUGCUAAUUUUACCCGUUUCGAUUUUACCUGAGUUAACACGAUUUGACAUCUAAAAACGUAAAUUCGUCCAAAUUUACGAGUUAACACUCGAUUUGUAUAACAUUGCUUAGCACAACCACAAAAUUGAGGGGGUCCUAAUCCAAAUCAUGCUUGUUGCUUUGUGUAUACAGAAGUGGGAACAGCCGCUACCAAAGCCAACAACUGUUCCCUUUACCUUAGAUGAUUCACCAUCUAUGUCUCCAACACCAAAUCAACCCUCCACCAAAGCCAAAAUGGCUAGCGAGAGAGAGUGUUAUUGGCUUUUUGAAAAAACAGAUUGUGUAUGGGAAGCGAUCCUCUUCGGUGACUUUUUUCUCAAGCAGAAACAAAGUUGCACACAAAACACAUGACUGGAGACGGAUAUGACUGUAAUAUUCGAGACUAUUUUAAUUAACAUGGUCCACAAUCAAACACUAUUUUAAAAUUUUGAUACAUUGAAACAUUACUAUAGUUAUUCAUUACACAUUUAAACGAAGAAUGUUGCUUAGGUGAUAUUUUUUUUGAAUGAAAUGUUGCUUUGGUGAUUAUGAAUAUAUAAAUUUUGUGGUCCAAAAUAAGUCUGUAAAUAUUAUUGCAAGAUACCGUACGCUUGUCUUGUGAGGAAAACAAUGGUACAAUUUUGAAAUUGGAUGCUCCUGUAAAGUGAAGAGAUUCACACUCAAAAUCAAAACCCCACUACCUAAUUCCAACUUCGACUGUGUAAUAAAGCAAGCACAAGGAUAGUUACUGACGUGAUGACUUUUUUUUGUUGACUUUAAGUAUGUAGUGUUGCAAAUCUAGGAAGAAAAAUAGAGGCACAACGAGGCCCAUUUUCGGUUUAAGACGUUUUUUAUAAGUCUUCUUUUAUUGGGUGAAAAUAUGUUUAAAAUCAUAAUUAGUUAUAUUUAGUAAAUGUUUUAUAAAGUUACCAUUUUGUUUCACGAAGACUGUUAACUAGUGCUCUAUACUAUGAAUGUCUUAGAAUUUAUAUAGUCAAAAUCUUAAAAGUGUAACAAAUGAUAUUUUUAAUGUAAACGUUUCUUUUUAUUUUGUUUCAAUGGCUAGUUUCUCGAGACACUAAUUAUACAAAUAUAUAAAUAUGUAUAAAAUAUAUUAGGAGGAAAUAAUAUCCGUAAACAUUAUUUUUAGGGGAUAUCUAAAUUGCUAACAUGGUUUUUCGAUGUUGUCGGGUUUCAAAUCGAAUUUCUCAAAGGUUAUGAGAGAUACUCUCAACCAAAUGAGCUCUAGAGACAGUCAUUAACAUGGUCUAAUAUACAAAGUCCGAAUAGGUCAACUUAUUUUAAUAACAUAUGGACAUGAUAAAAAAUAAAAAGAUGGUGUAAACUUAUCUUAUUAACGUAUAUUAUGAUAUGAUGUUUUGUCACAAAAAGAAAAUAUAUUAUGAUAAAGGUUAAAAGAAGAAAAUGAAAGAAGAGAAAACCUUUGACUCUGUACACAGAGACAUAGAGACCGUGCCAGAAUCAACAAUAGUACCAAUCAAUUAUACAAGCACGCAUGUAACAUAAAAUAGAAAUAUCAACCACUUCCUAUUUCCACAUCCAAUGUUUUACCAUACACAACCUACUACUAUGUUUUCCUUAACAUCAAAUCAAUGUCUUCUUCAACAUCAUCUAUGCCUCUCUUUCUCUUUGCCAUCAUCUGUUUCAUCAGAAGAAGAGGGUCCCUCAGUAUUGGCUUCACUAGUUUGGCUACUUUCUUUUGCCUUAGCUUUAUCAUCAUGUUUUCUUCCACCAACCAUUAAGAGAUGUGUUUCACCUAAUUCCUUUGAAUUGUUACUAUCUUCUUCUGAUUUGUACUUGUACCAAGAGGCCCAAUAGAGGAAGUUAAAGAAAUUAAGACAGCUUAAUAUAGCUAAGAACCAAUAAAACAAGUUCAAAUUGUUUUGAUUUAAAUCAAAACCUUGUAACCAACCUUGUUUACUUGGUGUGAUCCUUUUAGUAACAGUGUUAAUAACAUUAACAAAAACAGUACUUAAGAAGUAACCAAGUGACAUGGACAAAAAUGUGAAUGAAGUUGAAAGUGAUUUCAUGGUUGAAGGUGCUUCUCUGUAGAAGAAUUCUAAUAGUCCAACAAGUGUGAACAUGUCUGCAAUACCAAAUAUAGCAUAUUGAAAAGAUAACCAAAAUAGGCUUAUUGGUUUUGAAGGGUCUUUUCUUCCUUGAUCUCUUCUUUUAACUUCUAUAAAACCAGCUAUUGUCAUUGAAAUGGCAGAGAGUACUAGUCCAACACCAACUCUUUGAAGCUGUGUAACACCUGAAGGGUGGUGAGUGAUUUUUCUAAUGAAUGGUACAAAGAAAAGUUCAUAAAUUGGAAUCAAUGUGCAUAAGAAAAUUAGUGGGAUAACAGGAAUGGAUGAUGCAGGUACUGUGAAGGAACCAAGUUUAAGGUUCAUUGAAUUUCCUUGUUGAACUGAGAAUGUUUGAAGCUGUGCUAAACAUGUGUUCAUUACAAUUGUACUUGCCAAUAUAGGUAACAUUCUUGUUAGGAUUUUUACUUCUUCAACUUGUGUCACUGUGCAAACCUUCCAUGGUUGUUGAGAUUCAGAAUUUUCUUGAAGAAUUGCUGCUUUAUCUAGAAACCUGAUUCAAUCCAACAAACCAUAACAUUUGAGUAUACUUGCAUGCAUUUAUUUGUGUAAAGGGAAAUAAAUGGGAAUAAAUGUUUUCUCAACCACAAACAAUAUCUAAGUCAUCAAUUAUUGUGCAUGUGAAGUUUGUCCUUCAAUUUCACCUUGGCAAACUUCACCCUCUCAAAAUAAACAAAUAGCGCUUGGUGUAUGUUUUGAAUCACGAUGAGUUUGACAAAAUCGUAGCAGCACCUUGAUUUCGUUAAUAUCAAAUCGAAAGUGUAGACAUUUGCGAAAUCAGGGUGGCUCACUGCGAUUCUAUCAUACUUUCUAUGGUUCCAAAAUAAAUAAUUGGUACUUGAUUUUCACUUUCUAUGUUAUCUACAAAGAAAAAGGGAAAAAAAAGUGUGAAAAACUUUUUCAGUGAGUUUGUGUCAGUAGAUUUAUUAUUAUCACUUUUUCUUAUGUUUUGGUGUUAACUAAAAAGCAAAAGAGAGGACAUAUUUUCCAUGAUCAUUCUCUGUAAGUCUGCUACACCGAACGUGUAGAAGUGAGUGAUAGUAGGCCCAAAUUCUUGGCAUUACUUAAUUAGUCGUACUUGAAGAAAAAGAAUCUUAACAAUGUGCUGGACACAAUGUAAUUCAUAAUUGUCAUCAUGCAUAUCAACAUUAUUAGCCUAACUUAGUCCAACACAUUAUCACAAAAUGUUAAUUAAGCAUUAUGAAUAUGUAGAAGAAAUGAAAUAACCUCAUUUGGUUAGUGUGUACAAUCUUCUCUAUAGUAGCAUCUUUAUACACUUCAUAAAGUUGUUCAUUAGAUUCUGGCAGUUGUAGCUUUCUAUUCUUAAAAGCCACAACAAUAACCUGCAUCAAACAUUAAUGGUUUAAUAAUUAAUCAAUGAACUAGUUAAAAUGAUUAAAGAAUAAUUAAUUACUGACCUGAAUAAUCCUCAAAAUAGGACUUUCACCAGGAGUUUUGAUACGGUAAAAAGGUUUACCAAUAGCAAGUGUUACAAAACCAAUUGAAGAAGCUACUGUUAUGAUGAAAAAUCCCCAAUGCCAAGCUUUUUGUGUACUAACCCAAACAAUACCAGUAACACCAAUAACUGAACCUAAAGUUGAACUAAGUAAAAGCCAAUUGAAAAAAGUUGCAAGUGCUUUUGCUUCAUUUGGAUCCUUUUCAUCAAAUUGGUUAGCACCAAAUGCUGUCAAUGAACCUCUUACUCCACCCAUUCCCAAAGCAUACAAACACAAUGAUGUGUAAAACAUUACAGCUAUACCUCCUUCCACACAACUUGAUUUACCACAUGCUUUUGGAUGUAAAUUGUCCAAUGCAGCUUGAACUGUGAUCAUUACCAAAGCCUAGACAAUACAAGUAUUAAAAUUAAUAUCAUUAUUAACCUCUCUAAACCAUAUGUUUUUUUCUUUAUUUUAUGUAAUUGGAACAUGGCAUUGGGAUUUGGAAUUUGGAGUGUUUGAAAUAUAAGAAGGGUUUUCUAUAUAAUAAUGAUUAGUAAUUAAAAUACUUACCAUAACUUCGAGUGAUCCAAAAACCAGACAUGUGGUGAAUCUGUUGAGGUAAGUAUCUGAGAUGAAGGCACCAACAAGAGAGAGCAAGAAAGUUGAGCCCAUAAAAUUUGUCAAAGUGUUGGCAGAGCUUGAAAGAUCAAAGUGCAUCACUCCAAUAAAGUAUAGUACUAAGCUCACCAUGUUUGUCACAAAACCCAUGUUAUCCAAUGCUGACAAAACUACAGCAACAAUUAACAAAAUGUUACCAAAUCAAUAAGCUCAUAAAAACAAAAGGAGUUAAUUUGGUGAAAAAGUUUUACUUACCAAAGAUGAACAUGGAAGCUCUAAAUCCACCUUUUUGUUUCUUCCAUUGAAUGAUGGGUUUGAGUUCUUCUUUUACUUCUUUGUCUCCCUAUAGUAACAUAUUUCAAAUUGUUACAAAAGAGAAGAGGAAAAAAAAAAUGUGAAUAAUGCAUUGAAUUGUUUAGCUAGCUAGCUUACCAUUUUGGAGAGAGUAUGAAAAGUUUCAAUUUCUCAAACAAGAAUGAUGAGUUGAGAUUGAAAUGAGAAGAAGGUGAACAUAUAAACCCAAAAUAGAAACUUUUGAAAGAAGCUUUCACUUGAGAGCAAAAUGACUUAGAAUUUUGAUCAUAAAAAUCCACAAGAGGUUCUUAUUUUUAAUGUCUUACACUGUUGGUUCUGUUCUUUGGUAUUUGUCUUCCAUUCUAGUAUUCUAGUAUUUAUGAUGUUUUUUUCUCACUCUUUCUACCCUUUUUUUUCCCUUGGUUUCUGUGCUCACCGUCUUAACACACUUUCAAACAUGCUUUACUAGUACUAAAUCUAGUUGUGUGUUUGUGUUGUAUUAUUGAAUUAUUGAUUGAUAAUGACAUUUGACAUUAGAAAUUGUAAUGCUUACGAUAUGUUUAAGGUUUGUUAAUAAUUAAUGAUGAUUCAUGGAUGCUAAUUCCAUCAAUUAUCUUAAUCAAAUCUAACAUAUAUGCCCCACUAAAUUUUGAUAUAUAUGUCUGUCUUGUGUUAUUUGUAAUUUUGUAACACUGUUCCUUAAUUAGAAGGUUUCAGUAAUGUUCGCGGGUCAAAUUGAAAGUGAGAUUUUACCUUGUAUAAAUUAGUAAGACUUUUUCAGCUUUAUACAUAGCAUGUGAUCUGGUGUCUGUAUCUCAUCAUAUUCUGAUGUAUAUUCAAAUGAGUUGUGUCACAACUAAAAUUUUAUAAAGGAAAUGAGGUAGUGUCACAAAAAUUAAAGCAAUAGAAAGAGAAAGUAAAAAGAUAAUAUAAAUAUGAGAGUGAAAGUUGUCACAAAAAUUAUAAAAAAUGGUUGUUCAAAAAACAUUUCUCUAUUCAAAUUCAUAUAGUACUAUUUGUAAAGUGUAAACUUUAAUUAUUCAUAUAUCACGUGGCUAGCUUGUCUAAUAAUUUCCUCUUAAUUUUUUUUUUGUGUGAAAAUAAUAUUUACUCCUAAUUAUGUCAUAAGAAUAAUAACAAUGAUAUGCCAUGGUGGUCAUAUUAAUCAAAUUUGUGUGGUUUCCUGUUAUUGAUAGUUAACUAGGAAAACAAAUUUUUAUUGUAAAAAAAAAAUACUAGGAAAACAAAUUUGCGUAGAAGUAUUAAAUUUUCAUGAUGCGGAGUUUGAAACUUGUCGCUGGUUUUAGGCAUCAGACACAACACUGUCAGAUGAAAAAGGAUCCUAUAUUUUCCUUGCUGCAAGAAAAACCACAGAUACCCCUAAAGUUCCCAUUAAAAAUAUCAAAGAUAAUAAAUAAUGAUACUUAUUUAAGGGUUAUUUAAGGGUUAAUUAUGUUUUAGAUCUUAUAAAUAGACGUGUUUGCAACAUUAGUCCCUAUUUAAAUUUUAUUAAAUUUUUGAUCUCCAACGUUUUUUUCCAUUAGUGAAAUAGGUCCUCGCUGUUAAUUGUUACUGAUUGAGCAAACGGUGAAGCACACGUGGAUGUCACAUCUGACUGUUUUUGUUGGGUUAAAUAUGUUUUCAGUCCCUAUAAAAUUGAGGCAUUUUAAGUUUAGUCCUUACUUAAUUUUAAUAGUUGUUUUAGUCCUUACAAAAAUACUAUGCACUCAUUAUUAGUCCUUGCUCAAUUCAAAUUUGUUUAAUUUAUGCUUAAACUCUUAAAUUUUUUAACAAUUUUUUGUAGAUGUGUUAAGCAUUACUCUUUGGUUGAUCUGUAGGCAUCUUGUAUACUGCCACUAGUUUUGCAUGAAAUGAGAGCAUAUGGGUUGGUUCGAAUUAAUAUGGACUUAUUUUUCCACGCUCAUUCAAUAUUUUGCCCCUGGUUAAUGAUAUUAGGUUCCACUCAAAUAAUCUAUGUCGCUUCAACAUCUUUUGGUCAACAUCUUUUGUUAUGAUAGACUACGUCUUCUUUAUCUUGACGAAAUGGGUGGAAUGGCUAUCCCAAUGCCAAAAAUAUUCACGAUUUUCACUAUCUUAUCGAUGACUUUUUUUCCAUUGUCAGGCAUGAGUGGUUUUGUUGUUGAAUUGAUAGUUUUUUUUGGAAUAAUUACUAGUCAAAAAUAUCUUUUCAUGAUGAAAAUACUAUCAAAACUAGUUUUAGUAGGUUUUUUUAGUCCCUACAAAAAAAAAAUAGUCUAAUUUUAGUCCCUACUAAAACAAAGUUUGUUUAAUUAUCCUUAAACUCUUAAAUUUUUGAACGAAUUUUUUGAGACAAGUUUAGAACACUAUGAAAGGUUCAAUUAAUAAAAUUUAGAAUUGUUUAACAUGAAACGAAUUAAAUAUGAGCAGAGACUAAUAUUGAAUCAAAUUUUGCGGCGGAACUUUUAGUAAUGUUCUUAACACGUCUACAAAAAAUUGUUAAAAAAUUUAAGAGUUUAAGAAUAAAUUAAACAAAUUUGAAUUGAGCAGAGACUAAUAUUAAAUGCAUAGUAUUUUUGCAAGGACUAAAACAACUAUUAAAAUUAAGUAAGAACUAAACUUAAAAUGCCUCAAUUUUACAGGGACUAAAAACAUAUUUAACCUAACAAAAAAAAGUCAGAUGUAGCAUCCACGUGUGCUUCUGUUUGCUCAAUCAGCAACAAUUAACAGCGAGGACCUAUUUUGCUAACGAAAAAAAACGUCGGGGACCAAAAAUUUAAUAAAAUUUAAGUAGGGACUAAUGUUGGAAACGCGCCUAUUUAUAGGGACCUAAAACAUAAUUAACCCCUUAUUUAAUAAUAUUCAUAAUGGUGAAAUCUAUUUUUUUAUAUUUAAAUAGAUCUCACGUACAUCUGUCACUUAUUUAUAAUUUUUUAAUAAUAUUAUUUGAGAAACAUCAAAUCCUUUCAACUCAACACCCUCGUAACAAAUAUCUUAAACCAAAUUUAUUAAUCAUAUGUCAAUAACACUAUAUAACUCUAUUUCAAUAAUCUAAUAUUAAAAAAAUGUGAAUCUCAUUUAAAAUUGGAAAUCUACAUUGAAGCUUUAUUCCUACAAUGUACUCAAAAUAAUGUUCCCUCAAUAGAGGUACCUCAUAGGUACCAAAUUUUAAAAGGGAGAGAUCUUCCGUUAUACAUUAUCUAAUAUCUAAUCCAUCUGAUCCAUUUUAUAAGAGAUGAAUAAGUCAAUAAAAGUUGAUUUAUUUGAUUCACAAUAAAGAUCAAGUAAAUCAACUUUUAUUGUCCCAUUUGUCACUUAUAAAAAGGACAUAAGGGGGUAUUAGUAGGUUCUAUAAGUUUUAUUUGAAGGAACUCAAAUUCAUGAUAAUAAUUAAAAGAGACAAUGAGUAGAUUUUAUUAUUUAUUUUUUAUGGUAUUAGAGUAAAUUUUAUUUAUCUCAUAGUUCAUCUUCGAAACCUUUUUUUUUCCGUAAUCGGAUGAAUAACAUGAAGAAAAAAAGUUAUUUUUUUGUGAAGAUUUAACGAGACUUUAUUUAUCUUUUGAUCAAACUUCAUAUUGACAAAAUGUAUUUUUUCCCUACACCAGAAGCUUAAGACAAAAUAAAACAAAUAAAGUUACUAUUUUAGAGUGGAAUAAAUAACGGCAAUCACUUUUUUAAAUGUCGUGCUAAUUUAUUCCCUAAAAACGCAUGUUAAAUAUUCUACAAGUAACAAAUAUUUAUUGAAAAAAAAAUUAAUUUUCAAUUUAAAAAAAAAAUAAAUUAACAGAAGUUGUAAUACAUAAUUCUAAUUUUAGUGUCUUAACAUGUGUCAUAUAGUCCUAGAAAAAAUGUGGUAUAAGGAUAUACUAUGUUAACAUUUUCUUUUUUUCAAAUAUGAUACUUACUUUUUCAUUCUUAAGAGUCUAAACUUAAGUGCUGAGAAGUUAAAAUUUGUGGCUUCGAAUUCACAUCUUGUAAAUCAAUGUAUUUAUUUUUUAUCAUCAAAGUUAUAUUAUGAGACUUAAUUCGAUUACUCUAUCGAUUCAACCAAGUAAAACUCAUUUACUAUGUGAUGUCAACUAGUUGGUUACAAAAAUAUUUUAUUUGGAUGUCCAAAAGAUAAUAUUUUUAAGAGGAAAAAGUUAAAAGAUUUCGUUUUAUUAAUUAAUAAUUUGUAAAAUAGGAACACAUUUGGUGGGUAUAUCCAGUUUCUGUGUCCCCAUUAAUGUGAAAAAAGUAUUGAAAAAUAAAAGGCAAAAAGGCAAAUAUUCUAGCCUUGUAGGUCAAAAUAAAUUGCUUAAAGUAUGGGUCACAUGAUCCAGCUCAGAUGUCGUCCUUUAUGUCCCUUGGAGCUCCAUUGUUAGGGAGAAAAGUCCAUAAAGGCAUAAACUUCAGU
rnacentral:lncRNA from 1 species